rnacentral:lncRNA from 1 species
UUUCUUCUUGAAAAAACGAUCUGCACAACAAUUCCCUGUAAUAUUCAAACGCAACAUCCUCCAAACCCUCGUUUUCAUCGGAUGACUUAAUAAACCCUUGCGCCACCCAAAGUCUAAUCAAUCUCUGUACAGAGAUCUCAUAAUCGGGUGGGAACAAGCUACAAUAAGCAAAACAAUGCUUCAAAUGUGAUGGGAGCACAUCAUAACUUAGUUUGAGUGUUGGUAAAAUUUCAGUUUCUUCUUGACUUAUUUUUGAAAGUUUCUUUUUUUUGAAAUUCAACCAUUCUAUUUCAUGAUGUUUGGUGCGCAGCAUCCCACCUAUCGUCCUUAUAGCGAGUGGAACUCCUUGACAUUUUCUCGCAACCUCCUCCCCAACUGCCUUAAUUGUUGGAUUAUGUGGCUCAUUUCCAUCUUCAAAAGCCAUUUCCUUAAAUAAAGUCCAACUUUGCUCUUCAUUCAAACCCCCCAAGGUGUAUAAUUUAGUUGUGUGUGAUGCCUUUGCAACAAUUUCGCUACGAGUGGUAAUUAGUAUUCUACUACCUUCUCCACCACCCACUAACAAGUCCUUCAAGCUAAGCCACUUCUCUUGAUCCUCAUUCCACACGUCAUCCAGCACAAGUAGGUACUUCUUCCCAUCUACUUUUUCUCUAAGAUUAUUUUGCAGCUGAUCCAUAUCAAGCUUAUCCACCCUCUCAAGAUGAUGCUUAUCAAGCUGUUUUAGGAUUUUCUUAGCCAGUAUAUCCAACUCGAAUACAUUAGAGACACAUGUCCACAUUUUCAACUCAAAAUGAUUUUGAAUCUCCUGAUCAUUGAAUAUGAGUCGGGCAAGUGCAGUUUUCCCCAAUCCUCCAAUUCCAACUAUGGAAAUGGUUGACACAUUCUUAGUUGAGAUGGGAUGCAACAAAAGUUGGAUAAUUGCCCUAGUAUCUUCGUCUCUCCCUAUAAUAUUUUCCUUGGGGACAAAUGAGUGAGUGACACUCUCUCUCUUUAUAAAUCGUGUAUCUUCACAAUUAUCUUUUAAGUAAUUGGGUCUACGAGAUGCAACCUCACUAAUCCUCUUGUUAAUAUCUUUUAUCCUGUGACCCAUCAUUAGCCCAAACACAAGUUGAUUUGAGCUAGAAAAGAAAAGGCGCACCUGUAAGAAUUUGAAUAGAUAAUCAUUAUUUCGAUAGGACGGUAUUAAUUAAGUUAAUAAAAUUUUGUAACGGUAGGUUAUAUAAAACAUUCAAAACAAUAUGUAGAAGACUUAUUGCAGUUAAUUAUGAGUUAUUUAUAAAUUCAUUCUAAUUUUUUUUUUUUAAGAAAAGAGAACAAAAAGCCGAACAACCAAGGUCAACCAUCGCAACUCGCCAAACCACUACCCCUCUCCAUACCUCCGCCGCCAAAAACCCCCUCUUUUCCAAGCGCUAUCUCUCACCUGCACCAGUAUACCAACCCCCCAAAGGGCCAAACCCACUCCCACCCAUCAAACAAAGAAAUCAAUUCCUCUCAACUACAGACUCUGAGACUCAUAGUCUCUGUCUUUCUCUCUCAAAUAAACCUUUCACAGUAGGUAGAUUAUGGAUUAUGGGUGUUUGGGGAGAGUGCAAGAAAGAGAGGUGGAGAGAGAGAGAGAGAGAGAGACAGAUGGAGGUUUUACAGACCGGACGGGAUAGCUCAAGAGAUUGGGUGGAUCGCUGGAGAAAGAAAAGUGGAGAAAAAAAGUGGCUUUUUUUUUCUUUGAAGUUUUCAUUUUUCAAUAUUUUGUGAAGUUGACAAUGUUUUUUUCUUUGUUGGAUAUUUAUUGACGUUGUUUUAGAAAUAAAGUGAGUGAAAAGUAACAUUUUAAUUUUUUUCACUGGGUUAGAUUAUAAUAUGGGUAAAAAAAAAUGACAAUAUACAGGGUCUAGCAGCACUCAAAACCAUUGCAAUUGUACCUAUUAUAUUUAUAGGGAAGAUAUAAUGUAUUUACUUGUUAAAAGAAAGUACCAAUAAAAUUGCCAUAUAUAAUUAUGGUGCAAUUCCUACAUCCUCCCAAAAGUAAAUUGUUUUCAUACGUGUGUACCCCUAAUUUUUUUAAUAAAAAAAUAUACCCGUAUAAUUAGAUACAAAUUUCAAAAGAAUGUAGCCAUUUAGGAAAAAAAAAAAAGGUAUCCAUAAGAGUUCUAGCAAAUAUAAUGGACCCAUGAUUAUUGAUAAAAGAUUGAUAAAUUCAGUCAAACGAAAAAUGAGAUGAAACUAUUCGAACGUAUAAAAAUUCAAAUUUAAAUUUCAAACUAAAAGGAUGUUAGGGAUAUCUAGCUGCAAUAAAAUCCCUUAAAUUAUGUAAAUAAUCAAUUAUCCUAAACAGAAAUGACAUAAAAGGAAAUGAAUAAACAAGUAUAUUUAAAUAAAAAGAAAAGGAAAAUCUGACAUGAGAUUUGAUUAAUUUUAAGAAUUUGAUAUGGACAUAAGUAAAAGGACUUCAAACAAAAAUUUAAAACUAAAAAUGUUUUAAUCAAGAAAUAUUAGUGACUAGGGACCGGACCUAAUUAUCCCCAUUUUUAAUCUCAUGACCCAUUUUAACUCAAAACAAGUUGAUUUAAGCUAGAAAAGAAAAGGCAUAUAUGUAAGAAUUUGGGUAGACACAAUCAUUAUGUUGAUAGAACUGUAUUAAGUAAGUUAAUAGAGUUUUGUAACGCUAAGUUAUACGAAACAUUCAAAACAAUAAUGUUGAGAAUUUAUUGCAAUUAAUUACAAGUUAUUGAGAGACCUAUUGUACUCCUAAUAGGUGGAUAUCCAUGGGCUAAUGUGAUUAUGAAAAGGUUCUAUAAGAUGCAACCUCACCAAAACCUCUUGUUAAUAUCUUUUAUCUUAUGACCCAUUUUUUAGCCCAAAAGCUAGUUGAUUUGAGCUAGAGGAAGAAGAGGCGUACCUCUUUACAUAGCUUUGAAUUUCCAGGCAUCAUUUGUCUCAGUUGAUUUUCAGUAUUAUACUCAUCCAACACGUCAUCGGCUUCAUAGACUGCUUCUUCUACGCUUUGGAGCCACUCUUUGACUUCAUUGUUGGCUUGCUUUUGCUCAGCGUCAAGAAGAACAGCUUGAAAUCCGGCAACUGUCACCUUGAGCUUCUGGAACUCAUCACGGGCACCCCAAAUCAAUCCAAUCUCUUGGGAAGCAAGGGGGCCUAGCCUCUCAAUGAUCCCUCCGGCAACGUUGAAGAGAACUCCUUCCGCCAUUUCUUGGAUUCAGGACAAGAAAAACACAAGUGAAGUGAAGUAGAAGCUUGUAAGUGAGAAAAUGAUUUUGCGUAGUGAAAGAUGGCUCCUCCUGCUAGUCUUUAUAUGCCGACACUUACAUAUAAUUCCAUGUAUAAAAUGAUCAUUCCACUCAAUAAUUGAACUACUUUAGUCUAGUGGCUUAAUAAAGUAUUGAUCGAUUACAAUCAGACAAAUGGGAAAACUCAAUCAUUCAAUUUAGUGAGGGAAAUUUUAUUUAAACACAUAUAACUUUUUUCCACAUUCAACUUAUUCUCUACAUCUAUAUUAAUUUCAAUUAAACUAUCAAUAUCUCCUUAAACUCAAAUAUCUACCUAAACCCAAUUCAAUAUAUAAAUUUAUCUUUACACCCAUUCAAAAAAUAAACCCAAAAUCAGUUGGAGACAGCUCUAUUUUUGAAAUUAUUUUCAUGUCUGAUUCUUAAGUGUGCGAACCUGCUACUCCAAUAUUUCUCAAGAAGAAAGUGCCCAUGCAGGAUGGUGAUCCUUUUCUCUUUUUUCUCGCUAGAGUCGAAAAUAUAGUCACAAUGAUAUACAUUGUUCUCAUUUGUAUAGGACGGAUGAUACUCGUUAUCAUCAAUGUCCCAAUCUUCUUCUGUUUUAAUGCCACGCAAGAACCAUAUUUGCUUAAUGCAUCAAUCAUAUGCUAUCUGUUGAGUUCAUGUUCAUUGGUUUAAACUAUUCUUGAAUAUAUAUCAUAGCAGAACUCAAGGGCUUUAUCAAAGCCGUAUUUGCUAUAUUUCAAGUUGUUAGAAGUAAGAACAAUUUUGCUAAUUAUCACUAUGUUCCGGAUUUGGACUUCACUUUUGGAGAUGAAUCCUUUCGCAUUGGUUGAUGGAUGACACAACUGCUUUCAAGAACUUCAAAAAGUACAUUUCUUCACUCCGGUUGUUUUUACCUUAUAUGUUUUUCUUAUGUAUAUGCCAAGCUAUUCACUAGCGUUUUAGCUUCAGUAUUUUUAUGUUUCAGUUGGUGGCAGUAUUGAAUUCCUAAUGCCUUUUGGAAGAGUUAUGAGUCCUAUAGAGAAAUUUAUUCACGGGUUAACAAAGACCUUCUUUGCACGCAAUAUACUUUUAAACUCUAAAAAAAAUUAAAAAAAAUGUGCAUAAAUCGAUUUAUAUCUUAGUUGAAGGAUUUGGAACUUCAAAAUUAUCAUCCAUUAGUCAAAAUGAACAUAUGAUAAAGAUUGAGUGAUGGUAAAGUUUGAUUAUUGAGUAUGGGUUUAUUGAUAACCUUUAGUUUUAUUAUUAAUUUCUUCUUCUACUUAAUGGUAAUUAUGCAAUAGUAAAAAUGACAAUUAACAAUUAAAAUAUAAGUUAGGUGUAGAGUGAAACUAUGUAGGUUCAAAUAAAAUUUCUCUUAGUCUAAUAAAUUAUUAGCUAGUGCUGUAGUUAAAGCUUGUGUCGUGGGGAGUGGACCCGUAAGAAAACGCAAUUACAACAAUCAUGGUUUUGUUUGUGUCUUCCACUAAUGACGGGAUUUGAUUUCCAGCACAUGUUCUCUCUCCCACACGCUACUAUAUACCCGCCAUUAGACUACACCCCAACACUGCACGUUUCUACCAUUAGCGCAUUUGUAAACCUAGCACUGCACGUUUCUACACCCAACACUUUCAAAUAGAAGCAAUCAGUCCAAUUUUUCACUACUAAUUUAUUCAUCGAUCCUCACAUUUAUUGUGUAAUUAAUAACUAAUAAUUAUAUAUUGUAUUGUUUUUUAUGUUUGAGCAACUGAGAAAAUUAACCUACUCCAACUUCUGAAGCUUUCUUUCAGCUGAGAAGAUUUGAUCUACUCUAAUUUCUAGUUUCAAAAUGAGGGUUGAGAAAAAACAAAUAAUAAUAAUGCUACUCUUUUGCUAAGUGUCUUCAUCUCAUAAGGUGUAAGAUGAAAUGCUAAAAUUGCUUGAUAUAAGCUUGAAUACUGCCAAAACUACGUAACCAUUAGAAGACUACCAGUGAAACAACAUUGUAUACUAAAAGUAAAGGGAUGAUGAGAUAUCAUAAUGUUCAUUUAUGUUGAUAAUAUAAUAUACACUAGGAGCUGCAAAGAAUUAAUGGAUGAAUUUAAAUUAGUUUCCAGAAUCUACAAUAAAAGUGAUGAGAUAUUAGUAUUAUUAUUAUUAUUGUUAUUAUAGAUUGGUUUCUAGAAUUUUAGUUUAUUUAUCAGAUGCUAUGAAAUUAGCCUGAGGCCAUCAUACAAAUGGAAGCAAGUACUCUGAAGGCUCUCCAUUUUUAAUGUCCUUCUCAGAGGACAAAGGCUAAAAAUAAAUGUUUUAAAGUAAAUUUCAAAAAACUCUAAUAAUCUCACACAAUUCGAAUACUUUUUUUUCUCCAUCUCGCAACUUUCUCUUGGAGUCUUGAUUUUCAUGAGUAUAAUCACUGAUUUUGAGUGAACUCCACCUAUUUUUUCACUCUUAAAAAGUUAUUAAAUGAUCAAACUGUGGAAUCAAAUUCUAUUUUUUCACUCCCAUUCCACUUUAGUAAACAUACAAAAUACAAAUAUACCAUUCCGAAGAAAUUUCAAAUUUAAAUUUUGGUUCUCCAAUUAAUUAAACAAAAUUAUAACCAACUUUUUCACAAGUUCUGAACGGUUACAAUCAGACAAUUAAUUUACAGACCAUCUUAUGUGGCCCCACUAACAUGUUAACACCUGUAAUAUAAGAUUAUCACCAAACACCAUCCUAUCUUGCCAACCAAACAUCCUCCACUUCCUUUGAACCUAUAACCAAACAUCAUGCUUCAUCCUUCACCUCCCAAACUGCCAUGCAAGGAAGAAAAUAUCGGUAAUAUCGGAAAUAUCGGUAGUCCGAAAACACGGAAAUAUCGAUGGAAAUAUCGGGAUAAUAUCGAUAUCGAUAAAAAUUACAUGGAAACCACGGAAAUUGUAAGAAAAACUUGGAAAUUUUUAAUGAAACUUUGUAGGAUGUUUAUUUAGUCAAUUAUCUAUUAGUUUAUCACAAAAAAUUGGAAGGAAAUGCAUUGCAUGAUGGAUUUAACUGAUUUAAGUUGAUUAUAUAGCGAGCUGGCAAACAUUGUGAGUGUAGAAAAUAUGUAGUAAUUAAUGAAAGAAGUUUAAACACACCAUAAUCAUUUAUAUAUAAUUAAUUAGUACAAUAUUUGGAGGUUUUAUUUAGGAUAUUAAAAAAAAAAAAAGGGAAGUGAAUAAAAUGAUGAAGAAUAAUGUGCCGAAUUUGACAAUUUAAAUUUCUUACACAUAAGCAUGCGUCUAGGCGUUGAAGUUCCAAAUUAUAGUAUAUCAAUUAACGAUUGAAAAUCAAUACAUUGAAUAAGAUUAAACUUUAAUUUGGAUGCCGAUUAUGUUUUUUCAAACUUGAUAUAAAGUAAAAAGUAUUGAAUUUUUGGAAGCUAGGAGUGUGUCAAUUGAAUUUUGGCUGACGUGCAAGGUAUCAAUCUCUUCGUCUCUUCGAGGGCUACAACUUUCCUUUUUGUUUCACUCAAUUUCGUUGCGUAUUGAAAAAGUUAUACUCAUUUGAAUCUUACCCAGUUUCCGGCGACCUCAGUAGAUUUCGAGGCAAUUUCCGGCCAAACCACAACGAGUCAGACGUCGUGUGAGGUACCAUUCUCUUCGCGUCUCUUCGAGGGCUACAACUUUCCUUUUUUGUUUCACUCAAUUUCGUUGCGUAUUGAAAAAGUUAUACUCUCAUUUGAAUCUUACCCAGUUUCCGACGACCUCAGCGACCUCAGUGACUUUCGAGGAAUUUUCCGGCCAAACCACUACGAUUCAGACAUCGUGUGAGAUACCAUUCUCUUCGUCUCUUCGAGGGCUACAACUUUUCUUUUUGUUUCACUCAAUUUCGUUGCGUAUUGAAAAAGUUAUACUCAUUUGAAUCUUACCCAGUUUCCGACGACCUCAGCGACCUCAGUGAUUUUCGAGGCAUUUUUCGGCCAAACCACUACGAUUCAGACAUCGUGUGAGGUACCAUUCUCUUCAUCUCUUCGAGGGCUACAACUUUCGUUUUUGUCUUGCUUGAUUUCGUUGAGUUUUGACAAAGUUAUGGCCGUUUAAAGUGGGUGUAAAAUUUCGGCCGAAAUUUUGAUUUUUUCCCCCAUUGGGCGAGUCCCACAUCGCCCAUGCAAGGAAGUGAGCAAUGAAUUUUUCCUAUAAAACUCACACUCCUCUGGUGAGAUAACCAAAACUUGUUUGGCCUUUGGGCCAUGAUCAAGUUAACUAUGUGUUAAGUUUUCUCAACAUAUUUAAGUAUUUAUUUAAUAAAAUAUGUUGAUAUUAUCGAUAAUUUCAAAAAUAUCGCGAUAUUAUCGAUAUUAUCAAUAAUAUCGCGAUAUUUUGACGAAAAUAGGUUGGAUUGUUAAAAAAAUUUCGGAACUUUAAAAAAACGAUAAUAUCGGCGAUAUUUUGCCGAUAUUAUCGAUUUUUUCCUCCUUGCUGCCAUGGCAUAUUUAUCGACGUCGUACACACCGACCCAACGCCAUCACCCCCUCUAAUCUGAUGCCUUCCUCGUCGACCCAACCAACCCACCCCUAUUUCUCACCUCCGUUGACCUUCCUUCGUAACACCCAUAUUAAACCAAUAAAUUUGACCGGCAAAGAGGAGUGGGGUAUCUGAAUAACCAACUCGUCGCCGUCGACGAGGAAUGGAGUGGGGUAUCUGAAUAACCAACUCGUUGCCGUCGAUGAGGAAUGGAGUGCGGUCGCUGUCGAAGUGCACUGGAGUGGGGUCGCCAUAAAAGAGAGGGUUCGACAUGGGUUCGCCGGUGAACAGAGGCGUUAGGGUUGUCGAGGUCGUCGGAGAAGAUAUGGGCGGAGUGGGGUCGCUGGAAAAAGAAGAGAUUGGUGGCGAUCUCGCCGAAGAAAAGAAGGGUUGGGGGUGGGCUUUCCGGAGAAGUGAGGGAUUGGGUUGGUCUCAACGGAGAAGAGAAGGGGGAGAAUGGAGGGGGAUGAGGGUUUCCAGCACAUAGACAGGAAAGAAGAUAGAAGAUGGAUAGUGUUUGGUUACGGAGAUAGUAGGAGUUUGAGAGAGGUUUGAGAGAGAAAUUUCUUUUUUUUUUUGGUAAAAAGAGAGAAUUUUCUUUGACUGGUGUUAAAAUUUUAAUGGGACACGUAGGAUGGUGAACAAAUUGAGUACCACCCGGUGAGGACCCAAGGAUUGUCCGACAAAGAAAGUCAUGAAAUGGGAUCCAUUUGGAACGAGGAAAUUUCAAACCUCAAUCCAAUGUCGAUUUCAAUCAGACAAUGAGGAUCCAAGGGGAUCCUCUUCCGUACUUUUUAUACCCAUUUAGUCUAGUGGUAUAAUAAACUAAAACAUAAUCAUUCUACUUUAGGGGAUUUGAUUUCCAACAAAUGUUAUCUCUCCCACUCCCUGGGGGCCUACACGCUACUGAGAAAAUUAGAUCUACUCCAAUUUCUAGUUUCGGGUUGAGAAAAAAACAAAUAAUGAUAAUACUACUCUUUUGUCAAGUGUCUUUAUCUCAUAAAGUGUAAGAUGAAAUGCUAAUAUUACUUUGAUGUAAGCUUGAAUACUGUCAAAACUGUAUAAUCGUUAAAAGAGUACCAGUGAAGCAACAUUUUACACUAAAAGUAAAGGGGAUGAUGAGAUAUCAUAGUGUUCAUUUAUGUUGAUGAUAUAUCUUCGCUAAGAGAUGCCAAGAAUUCAUGGAUGAAUUUAAAUUGGUUUUUAGAAUCUACACUAAAAGUAAAAGGGAUGCAAGAUAUUAUUAUUAUUAUUAUUUAUUGGUUUCUAGAAUUUCAAUUUAUUUAUAAGAUGUUAUGAAAUUAGCGUGAGGACCAGCAUCCAAAUGGGAAGAAAGCACCCUGAAGAGCUCUCCUUUUUAGAGGAUAUAGGCAAAAAUAAAAGUUUUUGGGUAAAUUUCAGAACUCUCUAGUAAUCUCAUACAAUUCAAAUACUUUAUUUCUCUCCAUCUUGCAACUUUUUCUUGGAGUCAAUAUCUCAUGCCCCCUCAGUAUUAGAAUUAAUGAUUUUUCAUGAGUAUGAUUAUUGAUUUUGAGCGGACUCCGCCUAUAUUUUCAUUCCUAAAAAAAUUAUUAAACUUUUAAAUCGCAGAAUCAAUUGAGAAAGAAUUCAAUUCCCGUUUUUCCACUCCCAUUCCACUUUAGUAAGCAUACCAUUAAUCUAUGAACAUUUUUGUUCGACAAAAUCUUAAAUUUAAAUUCUGGCUCUCCAAUUAAUAAAACAAAAUUAUGAUCGAUUUUUUUUUCACAAGUUCUGAAUGGUUUAACAUAUUGUGACAGCCCGUUCCGAAUUAAAAUAUAUUUUAUCUUUGAAUGCAUAGAAAUGACGAUUUUACCCUCGUAGGGCUUGUGGCGUGGAUAUACGUAAAUAAUUUUAAAUCAUUUUAUGUGGAUGAAAUUAAAUUAUAUUUGAUGCCACGGGAGUAUCGACAUUAAUUAAGGGCCUAGUUGGGUUUGUAGUGGAAAAAUUGUGAAGAAAUAGGGGGAAUUUAGGACCAUUGAAAUUGCCCAAUCCGGGCAUGUACACACACACACCCACACGUGCACCCCAUCUCCUUCUCUCUUUCUUCUUACCCUCUCUCCCCGUCUGUACAACCAAACCCCAUAACCCUUAAACCUCACUUUUCAUCCACAUAUCGAGCUUGAGGACAGUGCUUCCCUUGACCUUACUAGUCGAGCCGUACCGUUGGUUUGAGGAGAAGACCGGUAAAAUCCGAAAUACCCGAGCUUCGGCGAGGUACCCUGUUACUCCGACGUGAUUGUGGACGUUCCACGGUAUUUUAAGGCUCAUAAAGGGUCCUAAACAAUUAUUCUAGGAUCCUGGGUUAGUUUUGGAAUGGUUAGAAUGUCGAAAAUCUUGGAUUUGUCGAGGUUCAAGUUCGGCCGGUUGUGUCGAGUUAUUUUCCGACUGUUUUCCGUCGGUGUUAAAACUUCAAAUUGUUUCUGGCGACGCAGAUGACGGCCAGCGGCGGAGUCCGGCGAACCACCUGAGAAAAAGGAGGAAUAUUCUGUCAACUUUGACGAAAUAUACUUAACGGCGUCAAGUGAGACGUUUUGGGAGGACGAGCGCAGCCAGGCGUGACUCAGGGGUUACAACCCAGCUACAUACCAGUGAAUGGGCUUUUGGUUUUCUAUAUAUACGUAUAUAUGCUUACGUUUUCCCAUAAAUGAAUUUAAAUGGUUUUACGUUUUAAAAUGCGAUGUCAUGUUUGCUUUACAUUUUAGCAUAUGAUUUAGUAUAGCUUUGCAUAAUAUUGCAUGCUAUUGCGGAGGCUAAGGUAAGUUCAGGUAAGUACAUAUUGUUGGUAUGGUUGCACAGUAGUUAGUUAUGAAUCGAUGUGUGUAGAAUUCAUUGUCCUGCAUCCCGGUGUUAGUGCUUCACCCGAAGCCAGGACCUAGCCUUCACGUGAUCGUUCACCUCCCACACCACACGCUCACCUUGGAUCUAAGGCAGGUGCUAGCCUAUCGUACAUACCACAUUAGGUGGUUUCGACUCGUAGGUGACUUGCGAUACUUCGCAUAGCCUUCACUUGAUCGUAGCACUUGAGCAUAUUUAUUUACACCUAACCUGUCGUACAGACCACAUUAGGUGGUUCCAGCUCGUGUGCAGGACUUGACUGAUGAGUUAUAGACUCAGCCGUACAGGUCAUGUUAGGUGACUCCGGUUGAUAUGUCAUUUAUUAUUAAUUCAUUUCACUUGGUUUACUUAUGCAUUGUGGAGAUAAUUGACAUGGCAUACUUGGAGUUUUUACUACUAUCGAGCAUAGUUCUUAUAUAUGUACGUAGUACUAUUUUCUGGGAAACUAUACGGGUUUUAUAGUGAGGGGUUAUUACUUUUGGAAAGAUAAAUUGUUUUGAAAAGCUUUGUUUUCGCCCACUCACAUUUUCUGUUUUGUGCCCCUCCAGGUUCUAGGUAGAAGUUCGUAUUGGUGGCUCACGAGGACUCAUCGGCGGUUCUGACAGACAUCUACCAGUGUAAGGUUUCUAUCAUGUUCUGUAUAAUCAGUAGUUAAACUUCUGGACUGCAUUCUGAUACCUAUGCUCUGAAUAUGUGUGUAUCUACACUCUAAAUACUUUCCCUAGUACUUAUAUACUAUACUAGUGUAAAUUAGUUAGUUGGUUUUUAUUUUAUCCGUAUUUUUAUAUCACGUACAUUUCUGCACAGCGCACAUGGCUGCGUCACCCUCACGUGAUGGCCCGCAUGCCUCGAUCGAGGUCGGGAUGUGUCACACAUUCUAUAUCUUUUCCAAAAUCUAAGGUUAAAAGCCUAAAACCCUCAAUUAUGAGAGUUGAGAUCCUCUUCAGAUCUCUCUUGAAAGGCCCAAACUCCCGAGUCCGGCUAUUCUGGACACAAAAAAGGACAUUUGUUUAUGUCUUCCACCAAUCAGGGGAUUUGUUUACGUCUCCAAUUUCUGACGCUUUCAUUUUUUUUUCAGCUGCAAAAAUUAGAUCCACUCCAAUUUUUCUAGUUUCAAAAUGAGGGUUGAGAAAAAAAAAACAAAUAAUAAUAUUAAUUAGAUUUUAUUUUUCAAUGUUGUUUGCUACAUUAUCGUGUUACUUUAUUAUUAAUAAUACUAAUUUGGUUUUGUAGAUUAAGAUUUUUAAGCGAGAAACAAGUUCAAAAUUCAAUUGAGGUAUGAAUCUUUUUGCUUUUUUGGGCUGUUGAAUUCAUCCUAGCCUUUACUGCAUUUUUUUUUUUUUACCGCUUCUCUCUGCAUGCUUCUAGCUGUUGUGUGUGUGUGUGUGUGUAGUAUUCAAUUGUUUUGCAUUUAUUUUUUGGAGUUUUAACGAAAAGCCCGCGGUACUCUUCACUUUAACGAAAAAUCAUAUUUUUACACUAAAAAGUCAAACCUGAUAUUAUUUACUUUACCCUUUAUUUUGUCUUUGUCGUUAAAACUCAAAGUUUUCAAGCCAUUUUCAUUAGUUUCCUUUUUAUUUUUUCCUUUCAUUUUUACUCAAUUUUUGUACUGUUUCUCCAUGUGUUGCUUCAUGUAUGUUUCUCGAUUGUUUGAGUUUACUCUUUGCCUUCAGUUUUUAUUGAAUUUUUUGACUUUUUGUGCAUGAAAUAAUCUAUUUGUUAUAUGUCAUGGUUAAAGGUUUGGUUUCUUUCUUUUUUCCCUUUUAUCAAAAGAAAACUAAUGAAAAUGGCUUGAAAACUUUAAGUUUUAAUGAUAAUGACAAAAUAAAGGGUAAAGUGAAUAGUACCCAGAUUGACUUUUUAGUGUAAAAAUAUGGUUUUUCGUUAAAGUGAACAGUACCGGGUGUUUUUCGUUAAAGUUCCAUUUUAUCAAUCCUCUCUCUUUACAAUUUAAGUUGAAUUACCAUGGGAUGUACAACAAGGGAGGCUAAAAAGCAGUCUAGCCCCAGGAAAAGGCCAUAAACAAAGAAAGAGACCAGUGCUUAAAAGAGGCUAGCGAUGGUUAAACUUAAAAGAGGCUAAGUAGUCCGAAAGAGAUUUAACAAGACAUAAAACGCAACUUUUGUCCAAAUCCUAGACAUCCCACUAACCCAAAAAAAGUACAAAAUGACAGCUGGCUACUCCAACGUGAUCAACACCUUUGGUUCAUUUUCCACGUUGGUGGAUUACCCUAAGCCCCUCAAAUAAUUAACAAAUCAUCCAAACGUGUUUCACGUUGGUGGGUUAUCCUGAAUCUCUUAAUAAUUAACAAAUAAAUCAGCAUGCUUUCACAGUGCAUCUGCACAUUUUGGUUCCAGGAAGUGAUAAAACUGAAAGUUGAACAAUGUUUUUACAUCAGCUCCACAACAUCAUUAACUUUUGACACCUUCAAUUAUUUUGAAUUAAUAGCACAAUAAUAAAGCUACUUUAAUUUUCUUCUUUGGGAUUACUUUAAUUAUGCAGGCAUCCUUGGUUGCAUUGCCUUAAAAAUGCAUGCAAUCUCGGACACUUAACAAAGUUGCUUACUUUGAUGAGCAAUUUUCCCCCAAAAAAGAAUUGAGUGCAUCAGGCACAGAUCAUGGCCCAUAAAUUAUAAAAAUAGUUACGAAAAACUACAAAAGCAAGUGCCCACUUAAUAUACGUCUAAAUGUGUGUCUAAAAAUUUAAAGGUGUGGUUUACUAAAAAUAAUAAAUAAAUUAAUUAAUUAAAUGUGUGAACAAAAGUUUAAAAUUAUGUGAAAAAGUCUAAAGGUGUCAAAAAAAUAGUAUAAAUGUGUAUGUAAAAGUCUAAAUAUGUGUGUAAACGUCUAAAGCUGUGUGAAAAUAAAGACUUUUGAACACUUAUAUUUUAUGUUGUCGUGUAAAAUCUCUAUAAAAGAGAUGUCUAUGUAUGUUUGUAAUCAAUCACAUUCCAGCAAUACGAAAAUAAAAUAUUUUUGUUAUCAGAAGAAACUUGUUGCUAAUAGUCUGAAAAACAUUCAAACUAAUUUUCUAAAACCAGUGAAACAUAAUUUCACACUAAAAGUAAAGGGGAUGAUGGCAUAUCAUAGUGUUCAUUUAUGUUGAUAAUAUAAUCUACACAAGGAGCUGACAAGAAUUAAUGGAUGAAUAUAAAUUGGUUUCCAGAAUUUAGGCUAAACGUAAAAGGAAUGUUGAGAUAUUAUUAUAAUUAUUAUUAUAGAUUGGUUUCUAGAAUUUCAGUUUAUUUAUCAGAUGCUAUGAAAUUAGCCUGAGGGCUAGCAUCCAAAUGGAAGCAAGUACUGAUGGGCUCCAUUUUUAAUGUCCUCCUCAGAGGACAUAGGCUAAAAGUAAAAGUUUUACGGUAAAUUUCAAAACUCUCUAAUAAUCUCAUGUAAUUUGAAUACUUUUUUUUACUCCAUCUUGCAACUUUCUUUUAGAGUCAAAAUCUCAUAGCACCUAAUGAUAUUUAUUUUUAUUUGUAAGUGAAAGAUUUUAAGUUCGAGUCUCGAUUCUCAAAUUAAUUAAACAAAAUUAUAACUAACUUUUUCACAAGUUCUGAAUGGUAUUCAUAUUGUAUCCCUUUUCCACAAUAUAGGCUUAAACGCCACAAUUACAGGGACAAAGAAAGUCAUAAAUUGGGGUCCAUUUGGAAUGAGGAAAUUUCAAUGCUCAAUCCAAUAUUGACUAGCAGAGAGCAUACACUUUGUGUGUAUGAACAACCGCCCACCUCUUCUCACGUUCUCAUCAAACGAAACUGCUUCAGUUCAUUCAAACUAUCCAAAAAAUAUUAUGAUUUCACUUACCUGUAUGAAAAAAUGAGAGUGGGACAAUUUUUCUUAAUAAGUGCAUAUUUUUUUAUUUUAUGUAAAUAUUUUGAUACAAAAUUACUAUUUUACCCUCCUCAUCUCAACAUUGUGUAUUCAAAAGUGAGAGGCAAAAUUAGAAAAAAUAGGCAAAAAGGUUGAUAAGGUGUAUUCUCUUAAUAAUAGUAUAGAUUACAAUAUGAGGAUUCGAGGGGAUCCUCAUCCGUACUUUUUAAACCCAUUUGCAAUUUUAUUGGUAUUCACAGUUUUAAAUUUACCCAUCGAUCCUCACAAAUUAUGCUAUUAAAUUUAGUACACUACUAGCCUUCACGCACGUGCGUGAGCGCGAAGAAGGUUUUUUUUGAAUCACAGCGCAACAUGCGUGCGUUUUAAAUGUAUUUAUAGACGUAAAUUGACAAAAGGAAAAUUAAAUAUUUGAAGUAAAUGAAUAAUUUUCAAUUAUGCUAGAACAAACCUCUUAUAAACCAAUUAAAAUCGUUGAAUUAACAUAAUAAAAUCAAUUUCUAUAGAAUUUACAUUAGGAAUAGAGAAAAUAAUAUUUAAUAAACAAUUGAUUGAAUCACAUUAUUACUAGCCGAUGUACUAAUUAUUAAAAAAACAAAACAAAAAUUGUACAGGAAAAAGUUAAAUAUUAAAAAACUGUUUAAAACUGUACACUGAAUAGUUAAAUAUUAAAACACUGUUCAUCACUGUAGACUAUAUAGUAAACUAUUAAAACACUGUUUAUAUGACGAAAAUACCCCUGCAUUAUUUGUUGUAUUAUUUUGAAUUACUUUGUUUGGAGGGCAGUUUGGUCCUUGUAGAAGCUGAAACACUGUUCACACUAUUCACCUUUCCUCCGGCUUUCUAUAUAAAAGAUGAAAUUUCUUUGAUUGAAAUCCCAAUCAUUCUCUAGUCGCAUAAUGAACUAAAACGUAAUCAUUCUACUUUAGUCUACAGUAUUUGAUUUCCAAGAAAUGUUCUCUCUCCCACUCCCUGGGCCCACACGCUACUGUGUAUUGCAUUGCGUUUAUGUUUGAGCAACUGAGAAAAUUAGGUGAUCUCCAAUUUCUAGUUUCAAAACGAUGGUUGAGAAAAAAAGAUAAUGAUAAUACUACCCUUUUGUCAAGUGUCUUCAUCUUAUAAGGUGUAAGAUGAAAGACUAAUAUUAUUUUGAUGUAAGCUUGAAUACUGUCAAAACCAUGUAACCAUUAAAACUUAAAAGAGUACUAGUGAAGCAAAAUUAUACAUAUUCUAAAAUCCAACACAAAAAGCACUGUUCAUUAACAGUGAAAGGCCUGUAUUAUAGAUAUGUUUUUUUAUAUCAAAUUUUAAAUUAUCGGUGUUAAUAAAAUUGAUUUGGUUUUCCAGAUCAUAAUUUUUAAGCAACAAAAUCAACCUGCAAAUUCAGUUCGGAUAUGAAUGCUUCUGCUUAUUUAGAUUGUUGAAUUGAUCUUUACCUUUACUAGAUUUUAUUUUUCAAUGUUGUUUGCUACAUCAUCGUGUUACUUUAUUAUUAAUAAUACUAAUUUGGUUUUGUAGAUUAAGAUUUUUAAGCGAGAAUCAAGUUCAAAAUUCAAUUGAGGUACGAGUCUUUUUGCUUAUUUGGGCUGUUGAAUUCAUCCUUGCCUUUACUGCAAUUUUUCUUUUUUACUGUUGUUUGGUACAUUCUGGUAUUGAUUUCAUUGCAAUUUUUCUCUUUGCCUUCAGUUUUUAUUGAAUUUAUUGACGUUUUGUGCACGAGUUAAUCUAUUUGUUAUAUGUCGUGGUUAAAGGUUUGGUUUCUUUCUUUUUUUCUUUUUAUCAAUCCUCUCUAUUUACAAUUUAAGUUGAAUUACCAUGGGAUGUACAACAAAGGAGGCUAAAAAGCAGUCUAGACCCAGGAAAAGGCCAUAAACAAAGCAAGGAAAAAGACCAGUGGUUAAAAAGGCCAAGUAGUCCGAAAGAGACAUAUAAACAAGACAUAAAGCGCAACUUUUGUCCAAAUCCUAGACAUCCCACUAACCCAAAAAAAUAAAAAAUGACAGCUAGCUACUCUAACGUGAUCAACACCUUUGCUUCAUUUUCCACGUUGGUGGGUUACCCACCCUAAGCCCCUCAAAUAAUUAACAAAUCAUUCAAACGUGUUUUAUGUUUGUGGGUUAUCCUGAACCUCUCACUAAUUAACAAAUAAACCAGUAUGCUUUCACAGUGCAUCUACACUGUUUGGUUCCAGGAAGUGAGAAAACUGAAAGUGGAACAAUGCUUUUACAUCAGCUCCCACUAUAUCGUUAACUUUUAGCCCUCAAGUCUUAAUUAAGUUUUUUCUUUGUUAAGUUUUGUCUGCAUAAAAACAAAGUCACCAGCUCCCACUACAUCAUUAACUUUUGACACCUACAAUUAUUUUGAAUUAAUAGCACAUAAUAAAGCUACUUUAAUUUUCUUCUUUGGGAUUAGUUUAAUGAUGCAUGCAUGAUGCAUCCUUGGUAUUUUCUUCUCUGGGAUUACUUUAAUUAUGCAGGCAUCCUUGGUUGCAUUGCCUUAAAAAUGCAUGCAAUCCCGGACACGUAACAAAGUUGCUCACUUUGAUGAGCAAUUUUCCCUAAAAAAAAAUUGAGUGCAUCACAGUCACAGAUCAUGGCCCAUAAAUGAUAAAAACAGUUACGAGAAACUACAAAAGCAAGUGCCCUUUAGUUUACGUCUAAAUGUGUAUGUAAAAGUUUAAAGAUGUGAACAAAAGUUUAAAAUUAUGUGGAAAAGUCUAAAGAUGCGUAAAAAAAAAAAGUAUAAAAGUAUAUGUAAAAGUCUAAAGCUACGUAAAAGUAAAGACUUUUGAACACCUAUGUUUUAUGUUGUUAUGUAAAAUCUCUAUAAAAGAGAUGUCUAUGUACGUUUGUAAUCAAUCACAUUCCAAUAAUAAGAAAAUAAAAUAUUUUUGUUAUUGAAAGAAACUUGCUGCUAAUAGUCUAAAAAACAUUCAGAGGAAGCAGCAUGCUGUUAGAAAAUUAGUCUGAAAGUUUUUCUUACUAUUAGUCUUCCGAUUACAAAAACAUUCUCUUUUUUUAUUGUUGGAAUGGGAUCGAUUACAAACAUACAAUGUUAUCAUUUGUUGUUCGAACUAGAACAAUGUUUCUCCAUAUGUUUUGCAUGUGAAUAGGCCAUUAUAAGAUCAGUACCCCAAUUUUUUGUGUAAAAGGACAAUCUAAUGUUUUCAAAUCUUUUAUCUGCAACUACUGAUGUGAAUCAAGAACUAGGAUGACUGCCAAGGGAGAAUAUCAUAUAUAACCAUCUGUGUAUGUCAAUGACAAAGUGUUUGCUAAUUUUUUUUUUUUUGUAUAAAAUGUAUAAAUCUAGACAUUGGCCUGUAAAAAAUAUUUGCUACAUUAUCUAUACAACCUUCAUUAUCUUUGUGUAAAUAGUAUUAGCAGACACUCACAUAUAUUUCCAUGUAUAAAAUGAAACGAAGACCAGUCAAUAUGUUACUGCUGGUCUUAAUAAUUGAAAGUUGAUUGUUUGCUAGUGCUCUGGUAAAUGGGAAGCCACAAUCAUUCUACUUUAGUCUAGUAAGUAUUGAUUGAUUACAAUCAGACAAAUUGGAAAACUGUUUGGGCUCAAAAUAAUAGUUUGGCCGAGGGUAGGAUCAUUCUCGGCCCGGGAGGCCGUGCGGCGAAAGGGCCAUGGAUCGUUCAGCUCAUGGGCUUCCAAGCCUAGGUCGGUUAAAUCAGAACGCAAGACGAGUCCUAGUACAACAGGGAGUCUCGACGGGAUCAGUAAUCCAGAAAGUGAAUCCGGCUCAGUUAAAGACUAGGUUUGUAGUCCUAGUGAAGAUAGGACUGGUCGAGGUGAUGUUGAUCCGGAGAGGGAAACCUAGUCCGAGUAGGAUUUUAGCUCGGACUCAAGGUCCAGUGCUAUAAAUAAGGGAAGCUGUGCAUCAAGGAGGGCCCUGCAAAUCAAUACAAAAUUGCCCUGCGCAAAUUCUCACAACUUGGGAUUUUUCUUUUUCCUUUUUCGCUGACACAUCUUCCGUUGGCAUCAACAGCACUGUGGAAGCAACCGGUGAUAUCUUAAGUCGGCAUAGAUAGCUCUGUCACCAUAGAAUUAGUCGGUCUCGCAGUAACUUCUGUUGGCAUUAACAACACUGCGGCGAGAACGAUUGGUUACCUAUCCGAGUCUCGGUCGAGAAGGAUUUCUGAAUCCUUAUUAGCCGAGGUCAUCUCAUCAGCCUCCUCGGUGAAGUGAGGUGUUACAAGUGAUUACAUUCGGCACGUUGAAAGCCGAAUUUGAUAUUGAACUUCGUAAAAAUAGUAACCUUGUCUUCAGGUUCGAGAACCCAAGAGGCCGAGACGUGUUCCUUUCUCGGCCGCAAUCGCAAGACGCAGAAGUCAGCCGCACCCAACGCAACAUCAACAAAUUUACUCCUCGGCCGAGCUCGGCAUACGAGUUGGCACGCCCCGCAAUCACCGAAGGACGUAGUUAGCUUAUAGAUUACUCGGCCUGCGCGCCACGUAGGCUUGGUAGUUUCUAGGGUCAACAUUUUGGCACGCCCAGUGGGACCCAGUGCUAAACUACGAAGUUCAUGCCAAUUGAAACACGAUCGGUAAAAAAGAAAACAGCUAUGGGAAAGUCGACAGCCGAUUUGCUGAAUCAAAGCACGGGACAAAGUGUGCCACAGACGCAGAAUCCCCUUAGCGCUGUGACACCUGAGUCCACAAGCGCGACCCGCCGAGAGAGAGAAGUUACUCUCGGCGGUCAGCUCCGCGGUCUAGAAAUCCCUAACAGAAACACCUGCGUUUUCACUGAAGGGAUAGUCGAGCAGACGUUUAGUCGAGGCAUUAACAAGCUGCAUGACGUGAUACUCAGUUCCAAUGAGUGACAAACUAGAUUGCUCGAAAUGCUGGUUAGUAAAGUCAGUGAAAGCAGGCCUUUCGAUCUUCUCCAGCACUUACCACCAGGAAACAAUCCGUUACCAAUUGUACCAGCCGAGCCUAUUCCUGCUCGGCUCAAACCAAUUAACUUGGAAAAAGGAGGAGGGUCGAAUAGUAGGUCAGACGGAACCGACCAGAGAGUCGAGGCAACACCUGUCGAUAUGACCGAAGUCCAGCGGAUGAUCGACUCGGCCAUGAAGAAAGGGCCGAAGUUUCCUAAGUUUAUUCAUCCGUACCCAUCUUACGUGGAAACGUUCGGAUACCCGAAGGGUUUCAAAAUCCCAGAUUUCAGCCUUUUUGCCGGUGAAUCAUCCCUGUCUUCGUUGGAGCAUGUGGCUCGUUUCACCGCGCAAUGCGGGGAUGUUAAUAGUGAUUUCCAUAAGUUACGGCUGUUCAAUUUCUCAUUGACCGGAUCAACAUUUGCCUGGUAUAUCAAUCUUCCUCCUAAUUCCGUCCAAAACUGGGAGGAGUUGGUCGAGAAAUUCCACGAGCAGUUUUAUCGGCCAGGGAUUGAGAUGUCAGUUUCUUCAUUAGCACGGAUGGCUCAAGCGUCUGAUGAGUCACCAAUGGAUUAUCUUACCAGGUUCAAAUCAGCCAGGAAUUGGUGCCGAGUGCCUUUACCUGAGGUCGAAUUUGUCAGGCUUGCUUUGAACGGCCUCGAUGUCGAAUACAAAAAGAAAUUAUUGGGGGAAAACUUUCGGGAUAUGUACGAAUUAGCCCAACAUGUCGAACAAUAUGAUUAUUUGCUCCGCGAGGAAAAGACUUCGAAAGCUCCAACUCGGGGGACGAUUUACAAGAAUCCUACUGUCAAUUAUGCAUCAACUGAGGAUGAAUAUGUUAGUGUGGAUGCAGCUGAGAUAGUGAUAGAUAAGCUAUACGUUUGCAAGGCAUUGACUCAGGUUGAUUCUAGGGAAGUCAAAAGCCGCUCGGCCACGGAAGGAACAUUGAAACCGUCAAAAGUUUACAAUUUUGAUAUUACAAAGGCUGACGUAAUUUUUGACCAACUGUUAUCAGCAAGAAUCAUCAAGCUUCGGCCUGGUCACAACAUUCCCAAGGCCGAAGAGCUUAAAGGAAAGGUGUAUUGCAAGUACCACAAUUCAAGCAAACAUACGACAAACAAUUGCGUCGUGUUUCGCGACAACGUGCAAAGCUGAAUUGAUAACGGCAAACUGAAAUUUCCAGAGAAGAAGAUGAGUGUUAAUACUGAUCCGUUCCCCACGGCAACAGUAAAUAUGGUCGAUACGUACCUACUUAAGGACAAAAGGAAAGGAAAGGCUGAAGUUGUUGCAACGCAAUGCUGGCGAAAUCAGAAUUCUCGGCCACGGUUCAUGGUCGAUUUUCGUGCAAACGAACCACCUACAGCUUUAACAGGACCCGCUAUUGUCAAACCUAUGAUGGAUUAUAGCACCGAUGAAGACAGUGGGACGGCGGUUUUGUGCAGAAAAUGUAGAGCAAAGGUCGACAGUGAGCCAGGGGAGAAGCCCUCUUCGCUUGUAACAGAACGACCUAUGGACGCAACCCGGCAAAAGGUAACUAACGUAGGCCAACAUCAAAGGGUUUUUGAUAGGCUCGGUCCUAAAGUACGGAUGGAAGAGACACCCCCGGUCAAGCGGCGCCUCGAUUUUGAUGCUUCAUUCUAUGACGAUGAUUACUAUAAACGUAAUUCUAGCAGUUCAAAAUCAUCGCGGAGCCAAAAAACCUUCAAACCUCCCGAGCCUAGAGAUCAACGUUGGUAUACAUAUCAUUCUUCGAAAGGUGUUUACACCGCGUUGUCCAAAUCCCAGAAACGUCGGCAUCAAAGGAUAGAUUGCAUGGCCCGCCGACGGGCCGCCCAAGAAACUUCGGUCCUUAAAUGGCGGCCGAAGGACACAAUUGCUACUGAUGAUGAAUGACCACCUCCAGCCAUUAUGACAGAGUUGGUUCAAGGGAAACGGUUGGUCGACCAAGAUGUUGAAACCACGUUUGAAGAGGCCGAUAAACGGAUCAAACUUCUUUUUCGACCAGGGGAGAUGAAGGCACGCCUUGAACAUUUCAGGCAAGAGGCCGAAAGCAAAUUAGCCCCGCCGGCUAUACAAGAACCUUUGAUUAAGAUUCGACGGAAUUUGCACCCCCCGUUCCUUGGGGAGUCUUUGGAAUAUAUGCGCGAAUUCCAUAAGAAACAUUCGGCCAAUGAUCUGUAUGGCUUGCCAAAGGCAUGCCAGGACACCAUUGAUCUAGUCCUGACUUGUCCUGAUGCCGAGCGAAUCAUCCAGAAAACCUCAGACACAGGGCUGAAAGCAAGGUUCCAGCACAUACGAGAAGCUCGUGUCCUUGGAUUUGAAGUCGACCCAUACACUGAUAUUGAUGCAGCCGACCUUCCUUUCUCAAUGGAGGACCUUCAGUAUUUACGAUAUCACUUCGAAGUAUUCUCGGCGAUUUCGCUCUUCGGCCUUACGACCGAUGAAAUAGCACGUGUUGCACGUCUGGAUGCUUAUCUCGACACUAGGGAUGCCCGGCUACGUUACCAGGAGCAGGUCCUGACCCCGAGCACACUGUCGAUCUCAACCUCACAUGAGGUAGGUACACAGACCCAACAAGUUGCCAAAGCAGCACCGCAGGAUCAAACCAUCGAAGAAGGAACAGAAGAGUCUUGUUGUCCAACCUUGACAGCAACAGAGUUCGUGGUUGCCGACCAGACAAGAGAUGAGGAUAGUGAGGAGGGUCCUAACCCGAUGGGCUCGUCAGUCUUGGAUAACAUGGAAAUCAGUAUGGUCCAUGUGUUACCCGCUGAUUUUCAAUCAAGCACGACCCAACCGAAUUUCCUCGAUGGUGACGUAGUCGCUGAAGAAGCCGGCCAUGUUGAUUUUGUAUCUGUUGCUGAAGUUGAAUCAACGACAAAAGCUGACAGUCUAAAGGCGGCUUUGGCCGAAUUGUUUCCUCGUUCAUCAUCGGCCAAACUUCGCCAUUUAAAGCCUUUGUAUGUGACGGCCCAUAUCGAGGGGUAUCCAGUUUCUAAAGUUUUCGUCGACUGUGGAACUACCGUCAAUAUCAUGCCUCUAAACAUCAUGAAGGCCUUACGUCGCUCGACUGACGAGCUUAUUCUGUCAGGGAGCACAGUGAGUAGUUUUGUCGGCGAAAAAUCCCAAACCAAAGGUGUACUUCCGUUAACUGUAAACAUUACCGGUCGCACUCACAUGACCGCCUUUUUCAUGGUUGAUUCCAAAACCGAGUAUAAUGCACUGCUCGGUCGAGACUGGAUUCAUCAAACCAGUUGUAUUCCUUCAUCAUUGUAUCAAGUGCUUGUCUUUUGGGAUGGCAACUCGGUCACUGUUCACCCGGCCGAUAGCCAGCCCUUUGAAGCUAAAAUGAUCCAAGCACGGUAUUAUGAUGACCACGUCGACUACAUUACAUUGCAAGGCUUCAAUGAAGAAGGACGGCCGACUCGGAUUUCGGUUCAGAAAGCUAUCGAGGUUGGUGCCGAGACUGUCCAGCAGGAUUCGGCGAGACUCGGAUUAGCCAAUUUCCUCCCCGAAGCUGAUGUUUGACACCGAUCGGGAAACACGUAGGGCCGCGGUUUCAUCUACUAUGGAACGACUGCUGGCCCAUUGGUAUACUAUAUCCAAACAACCAAAUUCGGGCGUUAACCUCGUCGAGUUCCUUACCGAAGGAGAUAAUGGUCCUGUCUUGUCUCUUGAUAAAAUUCAAGCCGCCCCGGCCGAACUCGAAGAUCAUCGGCCCCAAGUUAAGGACCCCUUGGAAGAGAUUAAUAUUGGGAUGGCCGAUGAUCCACGGCCUUUGUUUGUUAGUGUGUUACUUCCCCAACAAAUGAAUGACGGGUUUCGUGCCUUGCUUACGGAGUUCAAAGAUUGUUUUGCUUGGAGCUAUCAUGAAAUGCCCAACUUAGAGCGUACUCUGGUCGAGCAUGAAUUACAUAUUAAGCCCGGAUGCAAACCUUUCCGUCAGCCACCUCGUCGAUUCUCGACCGAAGUGCAACUCGGCAUCAAAGACGAAUUGGUUCGGCUUUUGAAAGCCAGGUUCAUUCGGACAGCUCGAUAUGUUGAAUGGUUGGCAAAUAUCGUGCCUGUUUUAAAGAAAAAUGGUGCACUACGCAUUUGUAUCGAUUUCAGAAAUCUGAAUCUGGCAACUCCCAAAUAUGAGUAUCCAAUGUCGAUUUCAGACCUGUUAAUCGAUGCUGCGGCAAAUCAUGCAAUCUUAUCCUUUAUGGAUGGACACGCCGGAUACAACCAAAUAUUCAUUGCUGAAGCCGAUGUGCACAAAACUGCUUUCCGUUGCCCGGGGGCACUCGGGACUUACGAAUGGGUUGUUAUGCCGUUCAGCCUCAAGAAUGUCGACGCCACAUACCAGCGGGCGAUGAAUACCAUCUUCCAUGAUUUAAUUGGAACCAUCAUCGAAGUUUACAUCGACGAUGUUGUCAUCAAAUCUAAACGCCGACAGACACAUCUGGACGAUCUCCGACAAGCUUUCCUCCGCAUGUGUCGGCACAACCUCAAGAUGAAUCCUGCCAAGUGUGCCUUCGGCGUAUCGGCCGGAAAUUUUCUUGGCUUCCUCGUGCAUCACCGUGGGAUUGAAGUCGAUGAGAAUAAGGCCCGCGCAAUCAUCAAUGCCCCACCCCCAACUACGAAGAAACAACUCCAAUCCUUACUAGGACAGAUCAAUUUCCUCCGCCGAUUUAUUGCCGACUCAACAGGUAAAAUGAAAGCGUUCUCCACGCUUUUGAAACUCAAGGACUCCGAUAAAUUUGUGUGGAACGAUGAGCAUCAGGCGGCGUUUACGCAAAUCAAAGUCUCCCUCACGAACCCACAUGUCCUGGUUCCUCCUCGGCGCGGUAAGCCUCUUAAGCUCUACAUCUCGGCGGCCGAAGAGUCCAUCGGCUGCCUCCUUGCGUAAGACAACGACGCCGGACGAGAGCAUGCUAUUUUUUAUCUCAGCCGCAAUCUCAGUCAACCGGAGAUCAAUUAUCCAGCCGUCGAAAAGCUGUGCCUGGCCGUGUUUUUUGCCGCUUCCAAGCUUCGACAUUAUAUGCUCCCAUCAGUCACCCAAGUUAUUGCUCAGACCGACGUCAUCCGCUACAUGCUCACCCGACCAAUCGUAAAAGGCCGCAUUGGGAAAUGGACCAUGGCACUGUCCGAAUUUAGCUUGCAGUACGUAGCCAGAAAGCUAUCAAGGGCCAGGCACUGGCUGAUUUCCUUGCUCAACAUCCCUCCCCAUACGGUUUUGGGGGCAACGACGUUGAAAUCGGCAUUGUUCAGACGCGCGACAACCACUGGACGAUGUACUUUGACGACUCCAGUACGUCAUCUUCGACGGGCGUGGGAAUUGUCAUUCAAUCCCCGAACCACGAUCACUGGUUAUUUUCGCUUAAGUUGGAUUUCGAAUGCACCAACAAUCAGGCCGAAUAUGAAGCCCUAAUCGUCGGCCUUGGAAUUCUUCAUGACUUGCGGGCGACCCGCGCCCUAACAUUAUCAAGUUGAUUAUAUAGCGAUCUGACAAAUAUUGUGAGUGUAGAAAAUAUGUAGUAAUUAAUGAAAGAAGUCUAAACACACCAUAAUCAUUUAUAUAUAAUGAAUUAGUACAAUAUUUUACACUUUAGUACCACAUAGAGUUCCUAUGAGGUUCAAAUUUUUCACUAUCUUCAUCAUCUCUAUGUGUAGAAUGAGUGUAUUGUGAAGAGUAGUUAUCAAAUGAUAAAUCCCCAAAAUAGUUUUGCAUGUAAUUGUUAAUAUGCCACCCAUAUGGAUCCGAGAUUGGUUGAGGUUGUCCAUAAGAAAAAACAUUUGAAGAUUGAGGCUGGGAUUGUUUCCAUGAGUCGCUCGAUUCCAUCCCAACAGGAAUGGGAUAUGAAGGGUAGGGAAAUGGUUGGUUAUGAGUAUAACCAUAGUUACUACUUCCCAAUCCAACAGAGUCUGAAGUUCUAGAUAACGAGUCAUCUUCUUGACUUGACAAAAUCCCCUUGCCUCUUUCUCUGCGAGUAUAGUCCUUCCCUAUGGCACCAAUUCCUGGUCCUGCCCGCCUACUGCCAUGGUCAUCAUCCUGUGUUGCAUGCGUGAAGUUUGCCUCACCAGUGAAGGGGCUCAUAUAUCCGGGAGAUGGUGGUCCAUAAUAGUUUCCAUAUCCACCACCACUACCUCCAACUCCACUACCUCCAGCUCCAUUAUGUCCUUCAUCAUUCCCACCUCCGGUGGUAGGUGAGUCUCCUGAUCUUGUACUAGAGCUAUCAUUAGUAUGAGCACGAUGUUGUGGUUGUGUAGGAUUGGAGAAGGUGGAAUUCCAGUGUUUCUUGGUCUUGGGUGCAAAAGUUCUUCGAAAGAGUUAGAGCUGCUAGAUCCCACAUCCUCCUCUAAUACUCUUUCUACAUUUAUCCCUUCAUUACGUGCUUCUUCAGCAACUCUGGGAGCUGGGUUGCCUUCAUCAUCAUCUAAAUGAAGAGGUCUAAUCCAUUGAAAAAAUUGGUUACCCUCCGUAUCAUCAUCUUCACCAACAAUAUCAAACACAUCUAGUGGGUCACCACGGUCGACAUGAUCGAUUUCUGCUUCCUUAUCUCGAAUUUGAAGCUUCAUGUUGUAGUAGCAAUAAACUAAUUUUUCCAAGCUACUAUGAGCCAACUUAUUUCUUUGCUUUGUGUGUAUGAGUGCAAAUGUGCUCCAAUUUCUUUCACAAGCAGAUGAGGAAGCUGUUUGUGAUAAUACUUUUAUUGCUAACUUUCUCACAGUUGGUGCAUCGGUCUCAUACAUGAUCCACCAUUCAGCUGCAAUGAAAAAUAAUGUUGAUAAGCCUAAUAACUCCAACAAAUUCUAUCAUAAACUUAUAGUGAAAUAUGUUUAUACUCACUAGGAGACAUAUUUGUUCGAGCAGCAACUGAUGUUGGUUCUCCAAAUGUUCUUCUUGCAUCUUUAAACCAUGUUAGCUGAAUACAAUAAAUUAUGUUAGUUUAAUCCAACAAAGUAAUUAUUAUAAAUUAAGUAAUUGUGUACCUCAUUUCCAAAUUGGCCAACUGCUGGUGAUGCAGGGUCUAAUUUAGAGUAUACAUUAUGUACAGCACGUAUAAGGUCACCAUCAUCUCCAACACCGGGUUUGUAUUGGUAUCGGGGAUUCAAAUAAUAUGCUGUUCAAAGAAACACAUACUCUAAUAAGAGAAAUAAUACUUAUGCAACUAAAGAAAUGAAUUGCAAAUUAUGACAUAAUUUAUACCUGUUGCAUGCAAAUCAUGGUAUAAUGUUUUAUACCAUCGGUCUUCAAUUAUUUUUAUGACCCACCUUGCACCAUGUUUUCUUUCCAAUUCAUCCUUCACUACACGCAUCAACUCAUAUACUGCCCCCAUAGUAGGAUACACUUCUGUGUCAACGAUCCGUAAAACUUUGUAAAGAGGUUCAAACACUUGACACACAUGUUCUGUUUGAGUCCAAAAAGCAUGAUCAAGCACUAUACUUUCCACCAUACGACCUGUAUUUGAGCGGCUGAAAUUGUGGUUGGCCCAAUCGUCACUAGUGAAUAGUUGCUUCAACCCUGCUUUCUUCUUGAGUAGGCUGUUUAAUGCAAUAUAGUUGGUGGCGAAUCGAGUGGUAGCUGGACGAAUAAUUUCUCCUCUGCAAAAUUCAAGCAUCUUUGCCAACAACCAACCGUGAUUGUAAAUAUAAUUUGUGAUCGUUCUAGCUCUUUUGACCAUAGUAGCAACAGUCUCUCUCUUCCCCAUUGCCUCAAACAUGAGAUCAAUACAAUGUGCUGCACAUGAUGUCCAAAACACAUUAUGAUGCUUCAUUAACUUUUUUCCAGCUUUGACAAAUGCAGAACCGUUGUCGGUCACGACUUGGACAACAUUAUGCUCUCCCACCUCCAUGAUUACAUCCCUCAAUAAUUUGUAAAUAUACUUGUAAUUCUUUAUAUGGUCUGAAGCAUCAACAGACUUCAAAAAAAUUGUCUUUCCCUUGGAGUAUACCAUGAAGUUGAUGAUAGAUAAUCUGGUCGGGCCGGUCCAUCCGUCACACAUGAUUGUGCAACCAUUAGUUUCCCACUUUGACCUCAACUUGUUAACAUACUCGCCAAUGUCUUUAUACUCCAUAUCCAAAUAUUUGUUUCUUAUCUCAUAGGGAGUGGGAGGUUGUACUCCAACACCGGCCUGUUGACAUCCCACUACCAUAUUUUUGAAAUGAUGUGAUGAUGCCUUCGCAGCAGGGACAUUUUCAUAGAUAAAGAACUUGCUAAUUAGACGCCUCAUUCCCUCCUUCACAUUACCUCCCUUGAAAUAACUCCAAACACUCUUUUGACGUGCGUUGGAUGACUUAUAUAAACUUGGGGCUAUUGGUGGUGUUGGUUGUGAUUCUCUAAGACUGCCUCCCCGUCUCAUUUGUGAACCACCACUUGUCCCGGAACCUUGUCCCCUAUUAGGAAUUUUAUGAAGGUGUUCUCUUUCCCAUGCUGACUGUUUGGAGGCACGUAAUGCUUGUUUCAAACUGCGUCGUUCUUCAGGUCCCAUGUCAUCAUUACAUUCGUCCUCAUCGUCAUCAUCAUCACUGUCAACCGCUUGGCCAUAGAUUUCUCCCCGUAGCCCAGCUCGAAUAUUUUCCAUUCCCUGUGUUAUCUUUUCCUUCUGCUGUUUUUUAUUUUUUAAUAAUGUGCUGAUGAAUGCCUUCACUUCUGGGGGGACAUUAUCGCAUCGUUGGACAUUUUUUGAUGGAUCUAAUCCACCAAGAUGAUACUUCAGUCGUGUCACUCCGCCACUCUUCAUUACCCGACCACAAUAUUUGCAAAUUGUGCCAUGUUUGUUUCCGUCUAUUGGGUCUCCAUAUUCCCAAGCUGGAUCACGUUUACUGGACAUCUUAAACGUACCUAUAUUUAUUUUUCAUGAAAAUUAGACAAUUAUUUUUUGAUAAAAAUAAGAGAACCUAAAUAAUAAAGUUAUUCUACAGAAGAAUUAAAUACAAAGUAAAGAAAAUGAUUGUAAAAAUUUAAGUAAUUAUACAAAUAAUAUGGAAUAAUAAAACCUAAUAUUAAUGAAUAAUAAUCCAAUUUGAUAAUAAUUCAAUUUAAUGAAUAAUAAUCCAAUUUGAUAAAAACAAAAUCCUAAUAUAAAACAUGGUGAUGAAUAAUAAUCCAAUUUGAUAAAAACAAAAUCCUAAUAUAAAACAUGGUGAUGAAUAAUAAUCCAAUUUGAUAAUAAUCCAAUUUAAUGAAUAAUCCACCAAUUUGAUAAUAAUCCAAUUUAAUGAAUAAUCCACCAAUUUGAUAAAAAAAAAUAAUCCUAAUAUAAAACAUGGUGAUGAAUAAUAAUCCAAUUUGAUAAUAAUAAUCCAAUUUGAUAAUAAUCCAAUUUGAUAAUAAUCCAAUGUAAUGAAUAAUCCACCAAUUUGAUAAAAAAAAAUCCUAAUAUAAAACAUGGUGAUGAAUAAUAAUCCAAUUUAAUGAAUAAUAAUCCAAUUUGAUAAUAAUCCAAUUUAAUGAAUAAUCCACCAAUUUGAUAAAAAAAAUAAUCCUAAAUAUAAAACAUGGUGAUGAAUAAUAAUCCAAUUUGAUAAUAAUCCAAUUUAAUGAAUAAUCCACCAAUUUGAUAAAAAAAAUAAUCCUAAUAUAAAACAUGGUGAUGAAUAAUAAUCCAAUUUGAUAAUAAUCCAAUUUAAUGAAUAAUCCACCAAUUUGAUAAAAAAAAUAAUCCUAAUAUAAAACAUGGUGAUGAAUAAUAAUCCAAUUUGAUAAUAAUAAUCCAAUUUAAUGAAUAAUCCACCAAUUUGAUAAAAAAAAAUAAUCCUAAUAUAAAACAUGGUGAUUAAUAAUAAUCCAAUUUAAUGAAUAAUAAUCCAAUUUGAUAAUAAUCCAAUUUAAUGAAUAAUCCACCAAUUUGAUAAAAAAAUUUCCUAAUAUAAAAGAAUAAUAAUCCAAUUUGAUAAUAAAAAAACCUAAUAUUAAUGAAUAAUAAUCCAAUUUGAUAAUAAAAAAAUCUAAUAUUAAAGAAUAAUAAUCCAAUUUGAUAAUAAAAAAAACCUAAUAUUAAUGAAUAAUAAUCCAAUUUGAUAAUGAAAAUGGUAAGGAAAAUAAAAUAAUAAAUAAUAUUAAACAUAUUAAAAUUAUCCUAGGGAAUAAUUAUACAACAUUACUUAAUUACUUAAAACAAUUAACAUUAACAUUACUUAAUUACUUACAAAAAUUAACAUGCAAGUAUUAAUUACUUAAAAAGAUUAACAUACGAGUCCACACAAAUUUAUUUGUUGUUGUAUAAAUUACAAUAAUAUAAAUUUAAGUUUGUAAACUUACCUUAAAUAUGGAAGCCUUUGUGUUCAAGCUUUGGAAUGGAUUUGGAAUGAUUUUGAAAAUGGUAAGGAAAAUAAAAUAAUAAAUAACAUUAAACAUAUUAAAAUUAUCCUAGGGAAUAAUUAUACAACAUUACUUAAUUACUUAAAACAAUUAACAUUAACAUUACUUAAUUACUUACAAAAAUUAACAUGCAAGUAUUAAUUACUUAAAAAAAUUAACAUACGAGUCCACACAAAUUUAUUUGUUGUUGUAUAAAUUACAAUAAUAUAAAUUUAAGUUUGUAAACUUACCUUAAAUAUGGAAGCCUUUGUGUUCAACCUUUGGAAAGGAUCUGGAAUGGUUUUGAAAAUGGUAUGGGAAGAAGAAGAAACGAAAUUUCUGUGAAUGCUUCUGAUACUCCACUGGGUGAAAGAAUGUAAGUAUAUAACAGACAUUGACACUGUUUUGCAUGUGAAAGACUCUUACUGACUGUCACACGAUUUCAUUAUGAAAGCAGUAUUAUUUGUUGUCCAUGUUCUGAAAUUGCAAAAAGUUAUUUGGAUCAUUGGAUCAGAGAGCUAGACAUAGGUUUGGAAUGAUUUGGUUUUGAAUAAUUUGGAGCAUUGGAUGCUUUUUUUUUCUUACACGCCACCACUCAGACAGUAAAAAAGAGUGAGGAACUCACACUCCACCACCACACACACUUCGAGACCCCCCACACCACACCACACACGCACACCACACACGGAGCUCAGUCUCUCUCUCGAUCAUUCAUUUCCCACUACCAUAUUCUCGAAUCCUCUCAAUCUCUCUCUUCUCUCUUCUCUCUCUCUGAGGUCUGAGCCUUCGUUCUCAUUGAGAACUUCUCAGUCUUCUCCCUCCCUUACCCCUUCUCCAGUUCUUCCACACACACACAGAGACAUCAUCUCUCGAAUCUCGAUCCAUCUCUCGAUCCUUCUCGUCCGUGUCUCCGUGUCUCCCUCUGCUCCUCCCAUAUCACCCGCCCUAAACCCAGCCGUCAACACCACUCGAUAACCGCCUUCUAAACCACCUUGAUCCAUGGAGAUCGACCGGAAAUCAUCGUAGUCCCAGCCGUCGACACCACUGAGGAGCACGACGUUGUCCCAGCCGUCUUGGAUUCGUGAGGAAGACGUGUUCCCAGGCUCCUACUUCUCUUCUUCUCGGCUUUUACUUUAAAUUUUUGUACAGAUUUCAAUUUUUCUGCAUGUUGCACCUUUGUUGUACUGAAAUCGAUUUUAGGGAUUUAGGAAUUAGGGUUUCUAUUUUUGUACAUAUUGCGAUUUUUCUGCAUGUUGCUUGAUUUUUGUACUGAAAUCGAUUUUAGGGAUUUAGGAAUUAGGGAUUCAGUUCAUUUGCUUUGAAUUCGAAUUUGGGGAUUUAGGGAUUCGGUUAAUUUGCUCCGGCGUUCUUCUCGGCUUGUAAAUUACAAUUUUUGUACAAAUUGCGAUUUUUCUGCAUGUUGAUUUUUGUACUGAAAUCGAUUUUAGGGAUUCCUGUAUUGUAGAUUCAGUUCAUUUGCUUUGAAUUAGAAUUUUGGGAUUUAGGGGUUUGGAUUAUUUGCUCCGGCUGUGUUCUCCGAUGAGUCCAUACCAAAUAUCGCGAUAGUUUCGAAAAUAUCGCGAUAUUAUCGAUAUUAUCGAUAAUAUCGCGAUAUUCUGCCGAAAACAAGUUGGAUAGUUAAUAAAAUAUCGGGGUCCCAAAAAAACGAUAAUAUCGGCGAUAUUUCACCGAUAUUAUCGAUAUUUUCUUCACUGGAUGUGACUCAAAUUUUGAAUAUUCGAGCUGCCUACGUAUCCCUCCAAAGAAGAGAUCAAGUCGUAACGUAGUUCAAAUACAUACAUAUUUUUUUUUGGUACUUUCUUUUUGUGCCGUUUGCAAUUUUAACUCAUGCAGGCAAGGAGUGUUGGUGUCGUUUGCAGUUUUAACUCGUGCAGACAAUGAGCAUUUGGUGCCGUGUUGCAGUUUCAACUCGUGCAGGCAAGGAGCGUUGGUGUUGCCUUUUAUGCUCGUGCACACCAGGAGCGUUUGGUGCCGUGUUGCAGUUUCAGCUCGUGCAGGCAAGGAGCUUCGUGUCCUACAGUUUAGGCUCGUGCGGACAAGGAGCUUUUGGUUCGUGCAGUUUAGGCUCGUGCGAACAAGGAGCAUUGUGUCUUGCAGUUUAGGCUCUUACAGACAAGGAGCUUUGGUGAAUUUGUCAAGCAAUUUUGGAGAGGCGUUCCUCACAAUCUUCAUAGCAAGGAGCCUUGACCGAGUGAUUGAAGAGGUCUUCGGGUAAGAAAUCACGCAUCGUGAUGGGGAUGGGUGAUCUAUAUGUCGAAAUUUCAUCAUCUUCAACACGUUCACGUUGCUUUGAAGGUUGACAAGAGAUGCUUUGCCCCCUUUCCGAUUGGCGGACUUGUGGAGGAGACGUAUGCUUCUUGUGCAAUUUCUUAUGAGUGACUUGAGUCCAUCCUUCAACUUUGCUUGUCUUGGAGGAUGCCCCCAAUGGUUGAGGUGAAAACUUUGAGUCGGAAGAGCCAAAAGUGAUGGUGGUAUAGUUUGACUUCACCACAUCAUCAAGAUCUAGCUCGAUGAUUCCUUUCUAAGCCAGCUUCAUGAUGAGAUCUUUCAGCACGAAGCAUUUUUCUGUCGGAUGACUGAUAAAGCGGUGGAAUUUACAGUAUCUUGGACUGUCGGUACGAUUCAUCUCUUCCGGCCGUCUGCACUCAGGUAAACCGAUCACCUUCUUGUCCAACAGGUCAUCCAGCAUGGCAACCACAUCAGAGUCGGGGAAUGGAUAAGUCUUCUCCUCAAGCUCCUUCAAAGUGCGUCUACGCAUCUCUUGAUCACGAAAAGCUUCGACUUGAAUCGCCUUGCCUCGUGUAGAGAUUUUGACGGGAGAUGUGUUGACCGUCAUCGCUUCCUUGGUGGGUUUCCAUGCAGCCUUCUCCACCUUUGUCUCAAGAACUUUGUCGUUCUUGUAGUCGGCGAUCGGUUCUUUCUUCCUAUGAUAGGCGAUGCUCAACUCCAUGUCAUGGGCGCGAGUGGCCAAUUCCUCGAAAGUCCGUGGUUUAAUGCCUUGGAUGAUGUAUUGCAAACCCCAUUGCAUGCCUUGGAUGCACAUCUCGAUUGAAGAGGUUUUCGAGAGCCUGUCUUUACAGUCGAGGCUUAGAGUGCGCCAUCUGUUGAUGUAGUCAAUGAUUGGCUCGUCCUUCCACUGCUUUGUGCUCGUUAGCUCUAGCAUGCUCACAGUGCGGCGUGUGCUGUAGAAGCGAUUAAGGAAUUCCCGUUCUAAUUGCUCCCAGCUGUUGAUGGACUCAGGCUCUAGGUCCGUGUACCACUCAAAGGCGUUUCCUUUCAGCGAGCGCACAAAUUGCUUGGCGAGGUAGUCUCCAUCUGUCCCCGUGUUGUUGCAAGUUUCGACGAAAUGUGCAACGUGCUGCUUUGGGUUUCCUUUUCCAUCAAACUGCAUGAACUUUGGUGGUUGAUAACCCCUUGGCAUCCUUAGGGCAUCAAUCUUCUUGGAAUAGGGCUUCGAGUAGAACAAGGAGGUAUGUGAGCUCCCUUCGUACUGUGCCUUGAUGGUGUUGGUGAUCAUCUCCUGCAGUUGCUGGAUAGAAAGAGAUCCCAUGAGUGCCGCUGCUUGGUCUGGCUCCGGCUUCCCAUCGAUUUUCUUCACCAGGGGUUCUUCGUCCCCGCCAGCUCCUCCCUUUAGUGGAUCAUCCUCUGGGUCGGGUUUAUCGCCGUCAUGCGCCUCCAGUCGGUUGACUAGUGCUGCAAUUUGCAAGUCUUUUUCUUCCACAGUUCGGGUUAGCCUUGCGAUUGCUUCAUUCAUUUGAGCCAGCUGCUCAUCGAUUGAAGUUGCUCCAAUGGUCAUGACUUGCAUGGCUGAACUGUCGCUUGAAUCGGCAUCAGAGAGCAUGGAUUCGGAGUAUUUCCUUGGGCUUUCCCCCCUUGGUGCCCUUAGUAGGCUAAGGUGAUCAAAGGCUCGUGCCUUGGGUGCUUUUGUUCCCUUGGCAGAGUUGAUGCAGAGGUGAAAGAGGCAGCAGAAGUAGAUCUUGCCAUGCUUCGAGUCGUGAUGCCCAAAGUGACACCAGUUGCGACGAGGACGCUUUUGUUCUUUGCGUCGGUUGCGGGAACAGUUUGAGCCUUCCUUGAUGCCAUUAAUUUUGGAAGUGCGCUUGAAUUUCUUGAACGGAGAAAGAGAUGAGAGGCAGAGAUGGUCCCACUGGGCGUGCCAAUUUGUGAACACGGAAAAUUCCUGAAACGAAAGAGACAAGAACAACGCGCACAAACAAAUAUUUGUGUUUGAUAAUUUUGGGUUACAAUCUCUCUCUAUUUUGAUCCUCUGAUUCGAUCUCCAUAAGGUGUGUAUUUGUGGAUGUGUGAUUGAUCCAAAGGGCCGUUGGGCUUGAUCUAAGGAUGAACGUUCUUCAAGGGCCGUGGACUUGAUCUUGAAGGUGGAUUUGAGCGGAUCUUCAAGGAGCCGUUGGGGCUUGAUCUUGAGUAACGGUGAUGAACGGAUCUUCAAGGGCUUUUGGGCUUAAUCUUGAAGAAACAGUGAUGAACUGAUCUUCAAGGGCUUUUGGGCUUAAUCUUGAAGAACGGUUGGAUGUGUGUGGAUUUGUCGACGUUUGUUGAUCCAAAGGGCCGUUGGGGCUUGAGCUUGGAUGAACGGAUGAUGAACGAUGGUGCUUUCUUCAAAGGCCGUCGGGGCUUGAUCUUGAAUUGGUGGAUGGUUGAUCCAAGGGACCGUUGGGGCUUGAUCUUGGAAGAACGAUGAACGAAGAACGAGGAACACUUUCUUCAAGGGCUGUCGGGGCUUGAUCUUGAAUUGGUGGAUGAUUGUUGAUCCAAAGGGCCGUUGGGGCUUGAUCUUAGGAUGAACGAUGAACGAAGAACGCUUUCUUGAUUCUUCGGGAACCUGGAUGCUUGAGAGCUUCGAAGUUUCAGAGCUUCAGGGCUUCAAGAGUUUUGCCUAAUGAUUUUGGUUCCCCCCAAAUGAAUGAAAUGGGCUUGUAUUUAUAGAAAUUUCCAAGGCCUAAUUUUGAAUAUAAUAUUCCAGAUGAAAUAAGUCGUUUCUGCCAGGUGUUGACACGUGUCCUAUUUGAUGACUUUUCCAACUCAUUUCAAUUUUCGUUGAGUCACACGCUACGUGUAAAAUUUAUGUAAUACAUGAGCGUUGAAACUUUGAUUUAUCGGUCAACAUUUAUUUACCGAAAUUUCGAUGUCUACAGCAGUACCUCGACAAUCCCAAUGGUAAACAUGAUCGCAAGACGAGAGUUCACGCCACAAACUAUGUCAUGUAUCAGAGCGAGUUAUACCGAAAAGGCGAAGAUGGUUUGUUAUUGCUAUGCCUCGGCCCCCAAGAGAGUGUUCGGGCGAUUACAGAAGUCCAUGAAGGGAUAUGCGGAGCUCAUCAAUCCGGACGGAAAAUGCGAUGACUACUUCGACGGCACGGCUAUUUUUGGCCAAGGAUACUAAAGGAUUGUAUCGAGUUUGCACGAGGAUGUGUACAAUGCCAAAUCCACGGGCCUAUACAAAGGGUCCUGGCCGAAUCUUUGCAUUCGGUCAUAAAGCCAUGGCCGUUUCGAGGAUGGGCCAUGGACGUAAUCGGCAAAAUCACGCCGUCUUCUGGAGCCGCUAAGCACGCAUGGGUAAUAGUCGCAACUGAUUACUUUACUAAGUGGGUCGAAGCGAAAUCAUACGCCGAACUAACAUCUAAAGAAGUUUGCGAUUUCAUGGAGGAACACAUCGUGACCAGAUUUGUCGUACCAGAAACGAUCAUAACUGACAAUGGAACAAUCUUCACAGCCGAGAGGUUUAAAGAGUAUACGGCAAAUUUAAAAAUUCGGCUCGAACAGUCUACACCGUAUUAUCCACAGGCGAAUGGGCAGGCCGAGGCAAGUAAUAAAGUGUUGAUCGGCAUCCUCGAAAAAAUGAUAAAAGAAAGGCCUGACAUGUGGCAUUUGAAGUUGAACGAGGCAUUAUGGGCAUAUCGAACAUCGCCCCGAUCGGCGACUGCGACAACCCCGUAUGCAUUAACCUACGGACACGAUGUAAUGUUACCAGUCGAGUUAAGCAUAAAUUCGUUGCGAUUAAUCGAACAAAGUAGUUUGUUUAGCGCCGAAUAUAAUCAGUCCAUGAGACAGGAACUCGAAGAUUUGGAAGAAGUACGACUUGACGCUUAUAACUUACUGGUGGCACAAAAACGGAUUGCCGAGCGAGCCUAUAAUCAAAAGGUACGACAGAAAACAUUCGGCGAGGGUGAAUUAGUGUGGCAAACGGUGUUACCCGUAGGACUAAAAGACCCUAGAUUCGGCAAGUGGUCGCCAAAUUGGGAAGGACCGUUCGUUGUGCAUAAAGUAUACGGAAAAUGGGCGUAUCAUCUUAAAGACCGGACCAGUUUGGUUCACAGAUUGCCGAUCAACGGGAAGUUUUUAAAAAAAUACUACCCGGUCACGUGGGAAAUGCGGGAAUAGAAAAUUAAUUUAUUAAUGUGCAAGACGACUGAAUUGAUCGUUUUUACAUCCAAGUGCCUUUAAGGCGAAGAGGGUAGGAGGGUGCCGAGCAGGGCCUUCAACUCCAACCACCGCACCUCGGCCAUGAUAACUUCAGCUUGCCGAUUCCUCUUGUCCAGCUUCAACCGCUCGACCCGUUUUGUGGUCGCCGCGUACUCAGUUAGGCAAUCCUUUCCGCCCGAUUCGAAGUCUUUAGCAAGCUCGGAAGCAAUGGCCGACCGACGUUUUGCUAGUUCGGCCAUCUGACGGUCGAGCUCGGCUAAGGCGUCUCCUUUUGCCCUUAGAUCGUCGAUUUUCGGACGGAGAGUGUCUUGAACGGUCGUGGUAGCUUACAGGUCGUGUUCGGCCUUUAGAGCGGUCUGGAAGAUACUAAAUGUCUCCCGAACCCGUUCCAAGGCAGACGAUGCCCGAACGAUGGCAUCUCCGCUCAGGCGACCGUCGGCUCCAAGGUCGUUCAGACAUACGCCAAGCAGAUCAAGACCGUUGUGCUUGAGUACUUGCGACGUUGAAAGCGACAAGACUUCUCGCAACUGAGUCAGAGCGCUUGGAUCGGCAGCUUCAGUCGUAGCGGCCGAAGGACCGGACUCUGCAGUUGUGCUGGAGAUGAGGGCUUUGAAUUCGACCUCCCACGAAGCCUGCACAUACAAAUCAGGUUAAGCUUAAAAGAAGUCAUGACAAGAAUAGCAAGAAGGUUUCAUUUUUUAACCUGCCGAGAGGAGACCUCGGCCAUAUCUCCAGGAUUGUUGCUCGAACCUAAAGAACUCAAUGGCCGAGCCCAGUGUCUCAGGGUGCUUCUCAGUUCACGCGGCCGAUGGAGGUUAUCUACGUUUGAUGGCCACUGAGGCGACCAAGAAAUAUAGAUAACGCCCUUCGGUGCGUAGAAUUUUCGAUGAAAAGAGUGUACAGGCACCUGACAUUUAGUAUUUUCUUCGUUUAGAAUUCUAAAGUAGAAAAGCAAUCAAGGAAAGACGGUAGAAGGUACUUACGAAGGCCGAAGUAACCUCCUGCGGAGGAAUGUAGAAGCCCUGGUCUUGAGGAUGAACGGGCGACUCCGCCGUUGCCUCGGGUUCCUCGGCCGGUCGUUUGCCACGGUCGGCUAUGGAGGGGCCGACCGGGACAGCCGCUUCGGAUGAGGCAGGGACAUCCUGGUCCUGAGAAUGAGCGAGGGGUUCGGCCACAGCUGUUGGUUCCUCGAUCGGACGCUUGCCACGAUCAGCCGUGGAGGGGCCGGCUGGAACCACCAUCUCGGAGAUCGGAGGAGGUUGUCGGCGAGUAUGAGGACGAUUUUGCAAGUGGGACCUCAUCGCUCCCCUCACUCUCUUCCAGAAUGAAGACCGAGGGCUUUGGAUUUUUAGGGGAAGUUCCCUCGGUCACAGAAACCGCCUUUUUCGGAACAGGUGCCUCCUCGACAGAGGGAGGCACAACUGGUGUACCAGCCCCAGAAACAGGCCGCGUUUGAACUGUUUCUACGGCCGGAGCUGGCGGUUUCUCGACCAAGGGUUGACCGACAACAGGAGAAUGGGAAACACUGGGAGUCGUCGCCCCUAUAGUUUGACUGGAGAUGAUGUGGAUCUCCCGUGCGCCCUUCUUUGCCAGCUGUUUUACCCGCUUGGCAGGCGGCGGAGGUUCGACGGCCGGCUCGGCCUCUUGGCGAGGCCGUUUGGUCAGCGCGGCCCGACCAGCAGUUUUGUCCUUCUUAGUUACGACCAAUUUUUUCUCGGCCGUAGCCACGGCAACUGCCUCCGUUUUUCUCAAAGGGUGACUACCUGAGAAGAUAAAAGCAAUUCAGUAAAGCAAAUCAAUAUGCAAAGUUAAAAAAAAAAAAAAAAAAAAUUGAACAGGUACCUGGAGCUUGGGGGGCCGGGGCCUUCUUAGGUCGAUCACUGAAGAGUUUCCCCAACACAUCUUCGACCGGAGCACCAAAGAACUCCUGGGUGUAAUUUUCCCACCAAUCACCGAAGGUGUCAGUGCAAAGGGUUUCUGGGGUGGCCGGUCGAAGGCGGAAUUUUUGGCAGUGCUCUUGGAACUCCCUCGCAGCAGUUUUACAUUCCUUCUCCGAGGAACGAGGUUCACGUCCACGGCUUAGGACUGUUCGGGAGGAGAGAAGGGGAACCAAGCAGCCCUGGAGGUAGCCGAGCUGUCGAGCAAGGAAGUUCGGGUGGUACACUUCCCAACCCGAUCGUUUUCCAUCGCAGCCGAGAGGGAGGUCGCGAGUGAGCACAAACGACCCCCAGGUCUGAUGAAGAUCGGCAUCCUCCCCCGCGCCCCACAUGGAGGUAGGCAGUCUGAUGGAGGAAGGAUAGUCUCGACGACGACAUAUCAGGAAUUCGUCGUUCGAAAGGUCAUCAAGAGCGAAGAGGUACCGAAAUACCUCUUCGGCUUGAUGAUGAGGUGUUGGUCGGGAGGCCAGCUGAGGUCCAAGCGCCUCUGUUGGCGAGAAGUCAGCUAUAGCCGGCCGAAGGGAAACGAAGUAAACUUGUAACAAGAGUUGGAAGACCCAGAGGGGACCAUUCUGGUGUGGGUCAAUCUUGUGGAGGGUCGCCUCAGCCAUGCAACGGAAGAGAUGGGCGAGAAUGUUGGAGCUCAGUGCCAGGACGUGACCACUAGCCAGGGCCUCGGCUACCGGCAUGUUCUCGACCAAGCAUUUGUUUGACUUGGUACAACAAAUGUACUUGUUGUACCAAUAGAAGAGGAACGCUUCAUGUUCCCCUUCUCGCAGGUCCUCUUCUCCUCGGCCGGCGAAAUGGAGAUAGAGGGUGUUGUAAUUGAAGAAGUUCUUGUGGAGCUUCUGAAUGUCUUCUUUCGACGGGAUUUGACCUUCACGAUUCAACGUCUCGAAAGCCUGUCGAUCAAAAAGCGUCUUCAGGUCGAUAUUCGACGGGUACCCAGAGAGGGCCGCGUCGAUAGGGAUCCCAGUUGCCGAAGUGCCCAGAAUGGCGGUAACAUCAAGAAUGGUGGGACCGAUGGGCCCAAAAUAAUAGUUUAGGCCGAUGGUAGGAUCAUUCUCGGCCUGGGAGGCCGUACGGCGAAAGGGCCAUGGAUCGUUCAGCUCAAGGGCUUCCAAGCCUAGGUCGGUUAAAUCAGAACGCAAGACGAGUCCUAGUACAACAGGGAGUCUUGACGGGAUCAGUAAUCCAGAAAGUGAAUCCGGCUCAGUUAAAGACUAGGUUCGUAGUCCUAGUGAAGAUAGGACUGGUUGAGGUGAUGUUGAUCCGAAGAGGGAAACCUAGUCCGAGUAGGAUUUUAGCUCGGACUCAAGGUCCAGUGCUAUAAAUAAGGGAAGCUGUGCAUCAAGGAGGGCCCUGCAAAUCAAUACAAAAUUGCCCUGCGCAAAUUCUCACAACUUGUGAUUUUUCUUUUUCCUUUUUCGCUGACACAUCUUCCGUUGGCAUCAACAGCACUGUGGAAGCAACCGGUGAUAUCUUAAGUCGGCAUAGAUAGCUCUGUCACCGUAGAAUCAGUCGGUCUCGCAGUAUCUUCCAUUGGCAUCAACAGCACUGCGGCGAGAACGAUUGGUUACCUAUCCGAGUCUCGGUCGAGAAGGAUUUCUGAAUCCUUAUUGGCCGAGGUCAUCUCAUCAGCCUCCUCGGCGAAGUGAGGUGUUACAAGUGAUUACAUUCGGCACGUUAAAAGUCGAAUUUGAUAUUGAACUUCGUAAAAAUAGUUCAAUAUCAAAUUCAGCUUUCAACAACGUGCCGAAUUUGAUAUUGAACUAUUUUUACGAAGUUCAAUAUCAAAUUCGGCUUUUAACGUGCCGAAUGUAAUCACUUGUAACACCUCACUUCGCCGAGGAGGCUGAUGAGAUGACCUCGGCCGAGACGUGUUCCUUUCUCGACCGCAAUCGCAAGACGCAGAAGUCAACCGCGCACCCAACGCAACAUCAACAAAUUUACUCCUCGGUCGAGCUCGGCCGACGAGUUGGCACGCCCCGCAAUCACCGAAGGACGUAGUUAGCUUAUAGAUUACUCGGCCUGCGCGCCACGUAGGCUUGGUAGUUUCUAGGGUCAACAAAAAACACAAUCACUCUACUUUAGUCUAGUAAAGUAUUAGCUGGUGCUCUAGUAAAGCUUGUGUCGUGUGGACCCGUAAGAAAACGCAAUUACAACAACCAUGGGAUUGGUUUGUGUCUUCCACUAAUGGCGGGAUUUGAUUUCUUGAGAUUUGGAUCCUCUCCUGAGCCCAAUGAGAGGAUCCUCCUGACGAACACACGUGGGCUGUUGGAUUUUUAUCCAACAGCUACAAACAAAUGGAUCUUUUUAGAGUUAUAAUAAUUAUAAUCGUUGGAUGAAAAUCCAACUUUCCACAUGUGUUGGUCAGAGGAUCCUCUCCUGGGACUCGAGAGAGGAUCCAAAUCCGAUUUCCAGCACAUGUUCUCUCCCAUUCGCUGGGCCCACACACUGCUAUAUACCCGCCAUUUGCGUAUUUGUACACCCAGCGCUGGACGUUUCUACACCCAGCACUUCCAAAUAGAAGUAACCAGUCCAAUUUUAGUGGUAUCUUCACUACUAAUUUAUGCAUCGAUCCUCACAUUUAUUGCGUAAUUAAUAACUAAUAAUUAUAUAUUGUAUUGUUGUCUAUGUUUGAGCAGUUGAGAAAAUUAAUCUACUUCAACUUCUGAAGUUUUCUUUCAGCUGAGAAAAUAUAGAACUACUCCAAUUUCUAGUUUCAAAAUGAGGGUUGAGAAAUAAAAACAGAUAAUAAUAAUGGGGCAAAAGACUGUUUACUACCUUCAUGUUUCGUGGUUUUCAAUAUUUAGUAUAUCAAGUUUUUUUCAUCCCAAAAUCAUACCUAAAGUGUAAAUUUUGGGACAAUCUCAUACAUCCAUUAGUCAAAUUGUUAAGUCUCCCGUUAACUGUGACGUGGCGCCCAUGUGGACAAUGACUGGGCGCCACGUGGAAAUUAAAAAUUAAAAAAAAAACUCAAAAUUUCAAAAUUCAAAACCACCUUCCCAUUCCUCCUCUACAACACCAAUUCUUCUUCCAAUCCGCCAACCCCACCACCACCAUGUCCCAAAAAUCCAAAUCACGAUGCAAAAACGCAAAACUCAAACAAAGCCCAGCACCUCCAAUCUAAAACCCGACCCCUCAAAACCCUAACCCACAUCGCCGUUAAGUACAUCGGCGCCGUAGCCUCAGUCUAGGCCUCCUACGCCGCCAUGGCCAAGCUCAUCAACACGAACGUCUUCGACUUCGCCAACGCCUUUCCCUUCAUCUUCCCCCACCUUCUCUAAAUUUACCAUUUCUCCAGUCCUCCAUGGAACGCUCUCAGGCGUGAAUCGUCACUACCAGAAGAGGGUUGACGCGGAAGCACGAAUAAGACUUCAGAGAUGAAAUGAUCGAGGGAGAACUGGAUCGGAAAGUUCAAGCCGUCGUCGAAACGCGGGACGAUCGCCCAGAUCUCGUCGGUGGGUUUGCGAGCAGGUCCGGAUUCUGGAGUCCAUAUUCUCAUCCGCGUAACCCGACCGCCCAUGGCCUCGCUCUCACCGCCAAAGAAGGUAGCAUGCUCGCUGUUGUCUUUUAUUUUGGCCAGUGUUCUUGGAGUUAACUGUUUGUUCAUCUUUAAUCUGAGCGAAAUCUUGUGAGAUUGUUUGGGGCUUAGGUUUUUUUUGGUAAUUUGUAUGCAGAUGAGCUUGUGGACAUUGUGGUGGACUGUGGAGCAGUUCCAGCGCUUGUUAAGCAUCUGUAGGUGCCUCCGCCGGCCACAGACAACCGAAAAAGCCCGAUCCCGUACGAGCACGAGGUCGAGAAGAUGGUGGAGGGAUGGAGGGCGAGGGAAGACGAAAAGGUUAUGGGUGUGUGUGGAUGAGGGAGAAGACGACUGUUUUUUGUUUGUUUUUUUUUUAAUUAUUUUUUUAAUAUUAAAGUGGCCCUAUAUUGACACGUGGCGCCCAGUAAUUGUUCGUGUAGGCGCCACGUCAUCAGUUAACAGAAAUUCUAACGGAAAACUUAACGGAUGUAUGAGACUGUCCCAAAAUUAAGACUUUAGGUAUGACUCUGGGACAAAAAAAACUUCAUGUAUUAAAUGUUGAAAACCACGAAACUUUAGAUUAGUAAACAGAGUUUAACCCAUAAUAUUGCUACUCCUUUGCCAAAUGUCUUCAUCUCAUAAGGUGUAAGAUGAACAGCUAAGAUUGCUUUGAUGUAAAGCUUGAAUACUGCCAAAACUAUGUAACCAUUAGAAGACUACCAAUAACAUUGUAUGCUAAAAGUAAAGGGAUGAUGAGAUAUCAUAACGUUCAUUUAUGUUGAUAAUAUAAUCUACACUUGGAGCUGCCAAGAAUUAAUAAAUGAAUUUAAAUUGGUUUCUAGAAUCUACAGUAAAAGUAGAAGGGAUGAUGAGAUAUUAUUAUUAUUAUAGAUUGGUUUCUAGAAUUUUAGUUUAUUUAUCAGAUGCUAUGAAAUUAGCCUGAGGGCCAUUAUCCAAAUGGAAGCAAGCACUCUAAAGGCUCUCCAUUUUUAAUGUCCUUCUCAGAGGGCAUAGCCUAAAAAUAAAAGUUUUAGGGUAAAUUUAAAAAAACUCUAAUAAUCUCACACAAUUCGAAUACUUUUUUCUCCAUCUCACAACUUUCUCUUGGAGUCAAAAUCUCAUGCCCCCUAAGUAUUGGAAUUCUUGAUUCUCAUGAGUAUAAUUAUUGAUUUUGAGUGGACUCCGCCUAUUUUUUCAUUCUUAAAAUGUUAUUAAAUGAUCAAACUGCAAAAUCAUUUUAGAAAUAAUCCAAUUCCUUUUUUUUUUCACUCCCAUUCCACUUUUUUUUUUUUUUUUUGGAGAAUUGCAUAAUAGCAUAAUCAGGGCCGAAGCCAGAGAAGUACAGAAAGCCACCACUGGCCAACACGAAAAAAUCUCAAAUAUACCAUUCCGAAUAAAUCUCAAAUUUAAAUUUUGGUUCUCCAAUUAAUUAAACAAAAUUAUAACUAACUUUUUCACAAGUUCUGAAUGGUUACAAUCAGACAAUGAGUAAUGAGGAAAUUUAAGGCUAAAACCCUUUAUUAUGGGAACAAAGAAAGUCAUAAAUUGGGUCCAUUUGGAAUGAGGAAAUUUCCAACCUCAAUCCAAUAUCGAUUACAAUCAGACAAUGAGAAUCCAAGGGGAUCCUCAUCCGUACUUUUUAAUACUUUAUUCACUGAUCCUUACAAAUUAUAUUAUUAAAUUUAGUAUACUAUGAAAUUUCUUUUAUUGUAUCCCCAUCAUUCUACUUUAGUCUAGUGGCAUAAUAAAGUAAAACAUAAUCAUCCACUUUAAGAUAAAUUUUUAGUUGUGACAGAAAUACAAGUGGUACACCACGUGUUUUAAUAGGAGUGGCAAGAAAUAUUAUUUUCUAAGUUAUUAACUUUUUAACACACAUAUCCCACCAUUUAUAUAGAGACACAUGGUGUAUUACCUGUGUACCAGUCAUACUGAAAAACCUCUCUCAUACUUUAAGGGAUUUGAUUUCCUUCUCUCUCCCACUUCCUGGGUCCACACGCUACUAUAUAUUGUAUUGUAGUUUAUGUUUAAGCAACUAAGAAAAUUAGAUCUACUCCAAUUUCUAGUUUCGGGUUGAGAAAAAAACAAAUAAUGAUAAUACUACUCUUUUUGUAAGUGUCUUCAUCUCAUAAGGUGUAAGAUGAAAUACUAAUAUUACUUUAAUGUAAGCUUGAUUAUUGCCAAAACUAUAUAAUCGUUGAAAGAGUACUAGUGAAGCAACAUUUUACACUAAAAGUAAAGGGGGAUGAUGAGAUAUCAUACUGUCCAUUUAUGUUGAUGAUAUAAUCUACACCAGUGAAGAAAAUAUCGAUAAUAUCGGCGAAAUAUCGUCGAUAUUAUCGUUUUUUUUGGACCCCGAUAUUUUAUUAACUAUCCAACUUGUUUUCAGCAGAAUAUCGCGAUAUUAUCGAUAAUAUCGCGAUAUUUUCGAAACUAUCGCGAUAUUUUCGAAACUAUCGCGAUAUUUGGUAUGGACUCAUCGGAGAACACAGCCGGAGCAAAUAAUCUGAACCCCUAAAUCCCCAAAUUCUAAUUCAAAGCAAAUGAACUGAAUCUACAAUACAGGAAUCCCUAAAAUCGAUUUCAGUACAAAAAUCAACAUGCAGAAAAAAUCGCAAUUUGUACAAAAAUUGUAAUUUACAAGCCGAGAAGAACGCCGGAGCAAAUUAACCGAAUCCCUAAAUCCCCAAAUUCGAAUUCAAAGCAGAUGAACUGAAUCCCUAAUUCCUAAAUCCCUAAAAUCGAUUUCAGUACAAAAAUCAAGCAACAUGCAGAAAAAUCGCAAUCUGUACAAAAAUAGAAACCCUAAUUCCUAAAUCCCUAAAAUCGAUUUCAGUACAACAAAGGUGCAACAUGCACAAAAAUUGAAAUCUGUACAAAAAAAUUAAAGUAAAAGCCGAGAAGAAGAGAAGUAGGAGCCUGGGAACAUCGUCUUCCUCACGAAUCCAAGACGGCUGGGACAACGUCGUGCUCCUCAGUGGUGUCGACGGCUGGGACUACGAUGAUUUCCGGUCGAUCUCCAUGGAUCAAGGUGGUUUAGAAGGCGGUUAUCGAGUGGUGUCGACGGCUGGGUUUAGGGCGGGUGAGAUGGGAGGAGCAGAGGGAGACACGGAGACACGGACAAGGAGGAUCGAGAUUCGAGAGAUGAUGUCUCUGUGUGUGUGGAAGAACUGGAGAAGGGGGAAGGGAGGGAGAAGAUUGAGAAGUUCUCUCAGUGAGAACGAAGGCUCAGACCUCAGAGAGAGAGAAUAGAGAAGAGAGAGAUUGAGAGGAUUCGAGAAUAUGGUAGUGGGAAAUGAAUGAUCGAGAGAGAGACUGAGCUCCGUGUGUGGUGUGCGUGUGUGGUGUGGUGUGGGGGGUCUCGAAGUGUGUGUGUGGUGGAGUGUGAGUUCUUCACUCUUUUUGACUGUCUGAGUGGUGGCGUGUAAGAAAAAAAAAGCAUCCAAUGCUCCAAAUUAUUCAAAACCAAAUCAUUCCAAACCUAUGUCUAGCUCUCUGAUCCAAUGAUCCAAAUAACUUUUUGCAAUUUCAGAACAUGGACAACAAAUAAUACUGCUUUCAUAAUGAAAUCGUGUGACAGUCAGUAAGAGUCUUUCACAUGCAAAAACAGUGUCAAUGUCUGUUAUAUACUUACAUUCUUUCACCCAGUGGAGUAUCAGAAGCAUUCACAGAAAUUUCGUUUCUUCUUCUUCCCAUACCAUUUUCAAAACCAUUCCAGAUCCUUUCCAAAGGUUGAACACAAAGGCUUCCAUAUUUAAGGUAAGUUUACAAACUUAAAUUUAUAUUAUUGUAAUUUAUACAACAACAAAUAAAUUUGUGUGGACUCGUAUGUUAAUUUUUUUAAGUAAUUAAUAUUUGCAUGUUAAUUUUUGUAAGUAAUUAAGUAAUGUUAAUGUUAAUUGUUUUAAGUAAUUAAGUAAUGUUGUAUAAUUAUUCCCUAGGAUAAUUUUAAUAUGUUUAAUGUUAUUUAUUAUUUUAUUUUCCUUACCAUUUUCAAAAUCAUUCCAGAUCCAUUCCAAAGCUUGAACACAAAGGCUUCCAUAUUUAAGGUAAGUUUACAAACUUAAAUUUAUAUUAUUGUAAUUUAUACAACAACAAAUAAAUUUGUGUGGACUCGUAUGUUAAUCUUUUUAAGUAAUUAAUACUUGCAUGUUAAUUUUUGUAAGUAAUUAAGUAAUGUUAAUGUUAAUUGUUUUAAGUAAUUAAGUAAUGUUGUAUAAUUAUUCCCUAGGAUAAUUUUAAUAUGUUUAAUAUUAUUUAUUAUUUUAUUUCCCUUACCAUUUUCAUUAUCAAAUUGGAUUAUUAUUCAUUAAUAUUAGGUUUUUUUAUUAUCAAAUUGGAUUAUUAUUCUUUAAUAUUAGAUUUUUUUUUUAUUAUCAAAUUGGAUUAUUAUUCAUUAAUAUUAGGUUUUUUAUUAUCAAAUUGGAUUAUUAUUCUUUUAUAUUAGGAAAUUUUUUUAUCAAAUUGGUGGAUUAUUCAUUAAAUUGGAUUAUUAUCAAAUUGGAUUAUUAUUAUCAAAUUGGAUUAUUAUUCAUCACCAUGUUUUAUAUUAGGAUUAUUUUUUUAUCAAAUUGGUGGAUUAUUCAUUAAAUUGGAUUAUUAUCAAAUUGGAUUAUUAUUAUCAAAUUGGAUUAUUAUUCAUCACCAUGUUUUAUAUUAGGAUUUUUUUUUUUAUCAAAUUGGUGGAUUGUUCAUUAAAUUGGAUUAUUAUCAAAUUGGAUUAUUAUUCAUCACCAUGUUUUAUAUUAGGAUUAUUUUUUUUUAUCAAAUUGGUGGAUUAUUCAUUAAAUUGGAUUAUUAUCAAAUUGGAUUAUUAUUCAUCACCAUGUUUUAUAUUAGGAUUUUUUUUUAUCAAAUUGGUGGAUUAUUCAUUAAAUUGGAUUAUUAUCAAAUUAGAUUAUUAUUCAUUAAAUUGGAUUAUUAUUCAUCACCAUGUUUUAUAUUAGGAUUAUUUUUUUAUCAAAUUGGUGGAUUAUUCAUUAAAUUGGAUUAUUAUCAAAUUGGAUUAUUAUCAAAUUGGAUUAUUAUUAUCAAAUUGGAUUAUUAUUCAUCACCAUGUUUUAUAUUAGGAUUUUUUUUAUCAAAUUGGUGGAUUAUUCAUUAAAUUGGAUUAUUAUCAAAUUGGUGGAUUAUUCAUUAAAUCGGAUUAUUAUCAAAUUGGAUUAUUAUUCAUCACCAUGUUUUAUAUUAGGAUUUUUUUUAUCAAAUUGGAUUAUUAUUCAUUAAAUUGAAUUAUUAUCAAAUUGGAUUAUUAUUCAUUAAUAUUAGGUUUUAUUAUUCCAUAUUAUUUGUAUAAUUACUUAAAUUUUUACAAUCAUUUUCUUGACUUUGUAUUUAAUUCUUCUGUAGAAUAACUUUAUUAUUUAGGUUCUCUUAUUUUUAUCAAAAAAUAAUUGUCUAAUUUUCAUGAAAAAUAGAUAUAGGUACGUUUAAGAUGUCCAGUAAACGUGAUCCAGCUUGGGAAUAUGAAGACCCAAUAGACGGAAACAAACAUGGCACAAUUAGCAAAUAUUGUGGUCGGGUAAUGAAGAGUGGCGGAGUGACACGACUGAAGUAUCAUCUUAGUGGAUUAGAUCCAUCAAAAAAUGUCCAACGAUGCGAUAAUGUCCCCCCAGAAGUGAAGGCAUUCAUCAGCACAUUAUUAAAAAAAAAAAACAGCAGAAGGAAAAGAUAACACAGGGAAUGGAAAAUAUUCGAGCUGGGCUACGGGGAGAAGUCUAUGGCCAAGCGGUUGACAGUGAUGAUGAUGACGAUGAGGACGAAUGUAAUGAUGACAUGGGACCUGAAGAACGACGCAGUUUGAAACAAGCAUUACGUGCCUCCAAACAGUCAGCAUGGGAAAGAGAACACCUUCAUAAAAUUCCUAAUAGGGGACAAGGUUCCGGGACAAGUGGUGGUGCACAAAUGAGACGGGGAGGCAGUCUUAGAGAAUCACAACCAACACCACCAAUAGCCCCAAGUUUAUAUAUAAGUCAUCCAACGCACGUCAAAAGAGUGUUUGGAGUUAUUUCAAGGGAGGUAAUGUGAAGGAGGGAAUGGGGCGUCUAAUUAGCAAGUUCUUUAUCUAUGAAAAUGUCCCUGCUGCGAAGGCAUCAUCACAUCAUUUCAAAAAUAUGGUAGUGGGAUGUCAACAGGCCGGUGUUGGAGUACAACCUCCCACUCCCUAUGAGAUAAGAAACAAAUAUUUGGAUAUGGAGUAUAAAGACAUUGGCGAGUAUGUUAACAAGUUGAGGUCAAAGUGGGAAACUAAUGGUUGCACAAUCAUGUGUGACGGAUGGACCGGCCCGACCAGAUUAUCUAUCAUCAACUUCAUGGUAUAUACUCCAAGGGAAAGACAAUUUUUUUUAAGUCUGUUGAUGCUUCAGACCAUAUAAAGAAUUACAAGUAUAUUUACAAAUUAUUGAGGGAUGUAAUCAUGGAGGUGGGAGAGCAUAAUGUUGUCCAAGUCGUGACCGACAACGGUUCUGCAUUUGUCAAAGCUGGAAAAAAGUUAAUGAAGCAUCAUAAUGUGUUUUGGACAUCAUGUGCAGCACAUUGUAUUGAUCUCAUGUUUGAGGCAAUGGGGAAGAGAGAGAAUGUUGCUACUGUGGUCAAAAGAGCUAGAACGAUCACAAAUUAUAUUUACAAUCACGGUUGGUUGUUGGCAAAGAUGCGUGAAUUUUGCAAGAGGAGAAAUUAUUCGUCCAGCUACCACUCGAUUCGCCACCAACUAUAUUGCAUUAAACAACCUACUCAAGAAGAAAGCAGGGUUGAAGCAACUAUUCACUAGUGACGAUUGGGCCAACCACAAUUUCAGCCGCUCAAAUACAGGUCGUAUGGUGGAAAGUAUAGUGCUUGAUCAUGCUUUUUGGACUCAAACAGAACAUGUGUGUCAAGUGUUUGAACCUCUUUACAAAGUUUUACGGAUCGUUGACACAGAAGUGUAUCCUACUAUGGGGGCAGUAUAUGAGUUGAUGCGUGUAGUGAAGGAUGAAUUGGAAAGAAAACAUGGUGCAAGGUGGGUCAUAAAAAUAAUUGAAGACCGAUAGUAUAAAACAUUAUACCACGAUUUGCAUGCAGCAGGUAUAAAUUAUGUCAUAAUUUGCAAUUCAUUUCUUUAGUUGCAUAAGUAUUAUUUCUCUUUAUUAGAGUAUGUGUUUCUUUGAACAGCAUAUUAUUUGAAUCCCCGAUACCAAUACAGACCCGGUGUUGGAGAUGAUGGUGACCUUAUACGUGUUGUACAUAAUGUAUACUCUAAAUUAGACCCUGCAUCACCAGCAGUUGGCCAAUUUGGAAAUGAGGUACACAAUUACUUAAUUUAUAAUAAUUACUUUGUUGGAUUAAACUAACACAAUUUAUUGUAUUCAGCUAACAUGGUUUAAAAAUGCAAGAAGAACAUUUGGAGAACCAACAUCAGUUGCUGCUCGAACAAAUAUGUCUCCUAGUGAGUAUAAACAUAUUUCACUAUAAGUUUAUAAUAGAAUUUUUGCACCCAAGACCAAGAAACACUGGAAUUCCACCUUCUUCCAAUCCUACACAACCACAACAUCGUGCUCAUACUAAUGAUAGCUCUAGUACAAGAUCAGGAGACUCACCUACCACCGGAGGUGGGAAUGAUGAAGGACAUAGUGGAGCUGGAGGUAGUGGAGUUGGAGGUAGUGGUGGUGGAUAUGGAAACUAUUAUGGACCACCACCUCCCGGAUAUAUGAGCCCCUUCACUGGUGAGGCAAACUUCACGCAUGCAACACAGGAUGAUGACCAUGGCAGUAGGCGGGCAGGACCAGGAAUUGGUGCCAUAGGGAAGGACUAUACUCGCAGAGAAAGAGGCAAGGGGAUUUUUGUCAAGUCAAGAAGAUGACUCGUUAUCUAGAACUUCAGACUCUGUUGGAUUGGGAAGUAGUAACUAUGGUUAUACUCAUAACCAACCAUUUCCCUACCCUUCAUAUCCCAUUCCUGUUGGGAUAGAAUCGAGCGACUCAUGGAAACAAUCCCAGCCUCAAUCUUCAAAUGAUUUUUCUUAUGGACAACCUCAACAAAUCUCGGAUCCAUAUGGGUGGCAUAUUAACAAUUACAUGCAAAACUAUUUUGAGGAUUUAUCAUUUGAUAACUACUUUUCAUAAUACACUCAUUCUACACAUAGAGAUGAUGAAGAUAGUGAAAAAUUUGAACCUCAUAGGAACUCUCUGUGGUACUAAAGUGUAAAAUAUUGUACUAAUUCAUUAUAUAUAAAUGAUUAUGUGUGUUUAGACUUCUUUCAUUAAUUACUACAUAUUUUCUACACUCACAAUAUUUGUCAGAUCGCUAUAUAAUCAACUUGAUAAUGUUAAAUCCCUCAUGCAAUCCAUUUCCUUCCAAUUUUUUGUGAUAAACUAAUAGAUAAUUAACUAAAUAAACAUCCUACAAAGUUUCAAUAAAAAUUUCCAAGUUUUUCUUACAAUUUCCGUGGUUUCCAUGUAAUUUUUAUCGAUAUCGAUAUUUUACCGAUAUUUUCGUCGAUAUUUCCGUGUUUUCGGACUACCGAUAUUUCCGAUAUUACCGAUAUUUUCUUCCUUGGUCAUGCAUUGGGGUCCAUUUGGAAUGAGGAGAUUUCAAACCUCGAUCCAAUAUUUUUAUGAUUUCAUAUAAUAUGGCAUGCUUAUUUAUACAUAAUAGGAACAAGAAUAAUUUCGAUUCUUCAGUUUCACGCGUUUACUAAAACAGGACAUGUUGUAUUUAUAGAGAAUAAGAAUUAAAACAUUUCGACGAGCUCACUACUAGUUUUAUAGGUUUUCUUAAUUAACUCAAUCAUAUAGUAAAAAUUCAAAUCAUUAUGUUUUAAUCACUCCAUCCACGUGGACCCUUAAAUUAUACCGGUACUGAAAUAGGUUUAAAAUCACUGUUCACCUACAAUGAAAUGACUGUUUUGCGCCUAUUUCACUCUACCUAUAAUAUGAUUAUCUUUCCUCAUAUUACCAUCAUCUUCUUUCACUUCUCUUAGACCAUCUCCAACCCUUGAGCUAAAAGCCAAAUUUUUUAGCCCGGAAAAUUUAACUUUUAGCCCAGAAAUAUCUUUUCUGCUCCAACCCUUCUACCCUAAAAUUUUAGCCCGGAAUUAUUAAAGAAUGAAAUUAGCCUAAAUUUUUUUCUUAAAUCAAUUUUUUUUUAAAAAUAAAUAUGUAGAUUAUUAUAAAUUAAUUUUAUGAACAUUUUAAUAUAAAAAAAUUUAAAUUCCGAUAAACAUUUCACAUUUAGCCCGGGGGAAAGCUGGGGGGUAUUUGACCCAAAAAUAGCAUUUGGCAUUUAGCCUAAAAUUUUAGCAUGAGUUGGAGAGUGUUUGGGGUAAUUUGGCUUUUAACCCAGAGUUGGAGAUGAUCUUACACUUUACUUUUUAUCUUUUUCUUUAUAUAAAAAGUUAUAUAAAAAUGUUAAUAUAAUUUAAUCAUAAUUGUCUAAAUAAAACAGGAGAUAAAGGAAAAGAUAUUAGAAGGGAAAAGAAUUUUACAGCGCUCCCGAAUUCUUAAUUCCACCUCUCUCGAUGAAAACACUACGACCAGAAAACCUCAUCAAGUUGACCAAAAAAAAAAGGGUCUCUCCUCUCAACCUGCUAUUCCAUCUCUCUCGCAGCGGAAGUGAGAUUCGUUCAAGGUAAUUCCAGUUCAGAAGGACAAAUUUUUCCAAUUUCUGGGUUUCUUUUUGCUUCUGUUCUGUUAAACUCAUCCUGAAGUUAUUUGUUCAAAGACUAAGUAUUGUUGUUCAAUUAAAGAUUUUUGGGUUUCUUUUUGCUUCAUUUCUGUUAAAUUACUCAUCUUGAAGUUAAUUUUGUUCAAAAACUAAAGUAUUCUUCUUCAAUUAAUCUUACAAGAAAGCACAUGAGAACGUGGCACACUAGAUGUUCGAUGAAAAGUGUCAAUAUUUCAAUUUCUAAUUUCUGUGUAUAUAAUUUGUGACGAAGCAGAACGAGUAAAGCCAGCAGCUGUGAUUUGUAAAGUGGAAGAUUGGAUGUGUUGAUGUGUGGCAUGCUCUAAUUAGGUAUAUUUUUGUGUAGUAAGAAAGCCAUAGAGAGAGAGAGAGUCGCGUUUUUUUUUUUUUUUUUUUUUUUUUUCGGAUUAGGUUGAUGUUUCAGUCGUAAACUUGAUUAAGCAAUGAAAGUUGAGGACAUACAAGUGACACAUGUAAUUGGGAAUUUGUAAGUUACAUGCAAAGCUCAUGGAAAGUAAGCUUUUGUAAUGUGUCUCUAAUGUCUACUCUACAACGAUUGUCUUCGAACACUGUUGUCACAUUUUUGGGGAGAAAUUUCAAAGUAAGGUGUUAAUGUCUGAUGUAAGACUAUGUUGAAAUUUCGAAGUAAAACGUUUAUUUAAUUGUUUCGUUUUUUAUAUGAAAAAACAUUUACUAUUGAAAUUUUUCAUGGUGCCUUGUUUUAUAAAAGAUUCAGGGCGGGAAUGAUUUAGAUUUCAUUGAUUGGCAUCGUUUUUCAAGUUUUGUCUGUGCUUUUGUUUGUAGGAUCAACUUGCAAAAGAACAUAGCAGAGAACAAACAUUGUCAAUUUAUUUGUUGAAGUAUUGCAGCUAUCUGCACGACUCCAACAAGCCACACCAAGCAUACAAUGGAAAGCUCCAUCUCCCUCUUUCCCUCCCUCCAUUUUCUUCUUAUGAGUUUCCUGCUAACAUCAAUUUGUAUAUCGAUAAAAUACGAUUUGAACAACUCUUUAUAUGUAUAUAGAGUUGUCAACAACUACUGUAUAUUUAUAUAUAUAUAUACUUUGGCACUCGUUUUGGCACACCAUCUAAAAGAUUAUGGUGGUGACGGAAAAUUCACAAUUGGAACUCAGUAAACAAAGCAAAAUGAGGAUCUUGUCUCACGGUUUAGAACAGUUCAAAUUUAUCACUGUAUCUUUGAUCCCAGCGAAAACUAUUGGCAUGUAAACUCCCUCCCGAGACGUAAAUGAGUGAACCUUCAAGGUCACAAAUCACAAUUCAUAGUCUUGUUUAUUAGCAAGUUCAGUACACGAAUUUCCUCAUUUAUCAUACAAUUCAAAAGCUUAAGAUCUUUGACCACUCAGCUUUAUGGGUUUCGCGCCUGAAGAGACGACAAACCAAUGACAACAGCCAGUGCCAAAGAUCUGCUCUGGCUUUUCCUCGCCUAAAUAGCGCUUUGACAUUGUUUUCAUCCCCUGCCAGUACCUGCGAGCAUUCAUUCAUCCAAUUACAGUUAACACAGUUGCAUUGACAAUUUAAGGGUAUUCAUGAUGAGGUAAAUAUCUGCCAACUCCAAGCGAAACAGAAAAAUCAAAUAAUAGACGUUAGUUGCCUUGACAAUGUACGGGUAUUCAUGAAAAAGGUAAAUAUCAGCCGACUCCAUACUACGCAGAAAAAUCUAAUAUUAGACGUUAGUUGCAUUAACAAUUUUAAGUCAUAACAGCCAUAUAGUUUGAACAACAGGAUGAAGCAUGGUUAGUAACAUACCAAAGAGACCGUCCGAGUACCACAGGACCUAAAAUUCGAUUAUUGACUGAAGCAUGGUUAGUAAUAGGUUUUGUAACGGUAGUUUUAUGAAACAUUCAAAACAAUAAUGUAGAGGACUUAUUGAAGUUAAUUAUGAGUUAUUGAUAGACCUGUUGUACUCCUAAUAGAUGGAAUAAACCCACAUCUCGCUCUUUAGCCUUGCUCUUACGAGGGAACAGGUCACUUUCAUGCUGGAUUAAGAAUUACUCUUUUCAGUAGCGUGUACGUAUCAUACAUACAAGAGUAGCAUUUUGGUAUUGAAAAUGAAGAACAGUAGCUUUUUGAAGUGCGAGAUUGUGUCUGAAGUUAAAUUUUUUGAUGAUUGGCUAUCCCGCCUUCUCUGGCUUUUCAGAACUGGGGAGGAUAAUAAGUGUUUUUAUGUUUUGAGCAAUUUUUCUUUGUUACAAGCUUCUCUCUUUCAUCCUCCUAAUCAUUGUGUUUGGUUAAUGCUUGGAGUUUUAGUUGUUUUGAACAUGAGUUUCUCUUCAGAAAUGUUUUAAUUCGGGGCUCUCUUUAUGUUCACUAGUUAAUCACCCAAGCAUGUUGGCAUGAUGGCGAAUUUCUUGGGAAGUUGUGAGGUGUCGAAUGACUAAACAGGUCCAGUAAAGUAUAGAUUUAAGAAAUGACCAAAUAUAGAAUCUAGUAUUGAUAGAAAAUCACUAAGAGUGCCGAAGAUUUUUUUAUCUACACUGAAGAGAACACUCUUGAUAUGUUGUAAUGCAGUGGGCAAAGAGAUUGAGUAGAAAAUAGGAUGUAUUCCAACUGACAUUCAGAAAUGAGUACCCAAUUAAAGUUCCUAGUCCGUCGCUUGCACCAGGUAGGGUUCCGAUGAAGUUUUUCGUGGCCGUGACUGUAUCAAGUUCUAUUUCUGGAAAUAGAGAAGAGUGUAGAAAACUUAUUAUGUUGUAGUCUGCAAAGUCAGCCUUGGCACUGAUGUAAAUUGAAGUAAACUUCACUAGGAAGUUGGUUUAGCAUAUAGUGAUCGAGGCACUAAUGUAUUUGCUUUCAUUUCAUUUCCUUGUUUCUACUUUAUCUUUUGUCGUAAAAAAAUUUACAAUCCAAAAUAGGAGGUUUUUCGAACUGGCCUUCCGAAAUGAGCAGCAAAGAAUAAGUUUCUAUUCAAUUUCGAGCACCAGUUGGGUUUCCGUAUGAGUUUUUGUAGCCAUGGUAAAAUGUCAAGUUCGGCCUUGGCACUGAUGCAAACGGGUUAACUCCCACUCACACUCCAGUUCAAUAUGAUCGACGUAAACAUGUUCAAGUUAAUCAACAUUUUAAUUUAUUUGACUUUUUGUAAAGUAUGAGGAUCAACUGACAAACUUUCCAAUUGAGUUUAUCAUAGCUCACUAGAAAAAGAUGGGCAUUGAUUUGUGCACUCCUCAACUGAGGUUACUUAGGGCCUAUUUGGAAUCUUAUUUUGUCUAAUUUUUUGUUUAAAUAAAUAAUAAAUGUAGCUAAAUUACUUAAUACGCAUUAGUUUCAAAACAAAAAAUUGGAUAAAAAUAUAAUACCAAACAUCCCCUUACAUAUGAGUUAGUUUGAGCAAGAGGUUUCUAUAUCUCAAGAGAUUGACGCCAAAUUAGUAAGAGAUGGAUUGCAAAAUGUGAGAUUGGAGAGAUUAGACCAUUACAAAAGCAUGUAAGAGGGUUUUGGAUGCAGUUGAAUAUCAGAGUGCGCAACGAACGAGACUAACAAAAUAAUAGAAAUAUUAUUAAACAACCGAGAAUGCCGGAACGGCUACAAAACCCUAAGAGAUUACAUUGUGACUAACUUGAUUUCGAAUGAAUAACAAAGCACUUUAUUUAUAAUAAACUAACCCUAAACCCUAAUGCUAACGGGCUAAGCCCAGAAAACCAAAUAUUAAGUAAACCUAAAUACUAAUAUUUUCCAACACCCCCGUCAAACUCAUGGCGGUAUACGACAUGGGUUUGCAAACAAGCAGAUGCGGACUGGCUCCGUUAGGCGGACAGACAGACAGGCAGGCUCUGCCGCAACGCGGACAGACAGACAGGCAGGUAUGCAAACUUGACUUGACUUGACUUGCGAACUGGUGAACUUGCGAACUUGACUUGACUUGACUGGCAAACUGGCAAACUGGCUAGUAUUGAAAGUAUGGAGAGAACCCAUCAAUAAACGGACGAUAUUUCCAUAUCUCAAUUGUACCAACAAACAAACAACGCCUACAACUUGUGUGGGCCAUCAAACCAAAAAAUGGGUUGCAAACAGCCAACUGCCCGUGUGGGCCAAAACAAACAGCCAAUUUUAUUUAUUUUUUUGUUCUUUUUUCUUUCUUCCUUCUCUUUGUUUUUUCUUUUCUCCUUCCUUUCAACCACUCUUUCUGGGCUGUGGUUUUCUAACAAACAAAACAACUGCGAGUGCAGUGAUUAGAUGGAGGUGCGCAUACAGUGGGUAUGAGGAUGGCGUUGGACAGAACAGCAGCAAACUGGUGGGGUGUGGGGGCGACAGUGACUGGGUGCAAGUACGGUGCUGGUUCUGGGUUUCCGACUGACAACGAAGGAUGAAUGGUCGCUGCGAUGCGGGUGCUGAAUAAACAAACUCCAAACUUCCUUUUUUUUUUUUUUUUUUUUCUCAACUGGGCUUCUUCAUACCUGCAAAACAAGCACAGCAGAUGCAGGUUUGGAGGCAUGACAGGGUUGCGGCGGGACGAUUAGGCAGGAAAGGGGAUGCGGGUACCAUGCAAAGACAAGGCAGUGGUGGGUAGAUCUGAUUCUGCGAUGGUGAUGGCAAUGGUUUGCGGAUCAGAAAGGCGGCGGAUCAGCGGGGGUAACCUACGGGUUCAAUCUUCAAGUUGCUGGCGGCAUGGUGUGGGGUUGAUGCGAGUGAAGUAACAAGGCACAGAUGCAGACGGGUCGAACUUUUUCCAGGCUUUUUUUUUUCUACCAACAAUCAAACACAACUAGACAUUCCGAACACGACAAAAACAAGCAAACAGAUACCAACCAAAGCAGAUUAAAUCCCGAAGAAUGAAACCUGCUCUGAUACCAAGUUGAAUAUCAGAGUGCGCAACGAACGAGACUAACAAAAUAAUAGAAAUAUUAUUAAACAACCGAGAAUGCCGGAACGGCUACAAAACCCUAAGAGAUUACAUUGUGACUAACUUGAUUUCGAAUGAAUAACAAAGCAUUUUAUUUAUAAUAAACUAACCCUAAACCCUAAUGCUAACGGGCUAAGCCCAGAAAACCAAAUAUUAAGUAAACCUAAAUACUAAUAUUUUCCAACAGUGUAGGUAUUCAGUUUUCCAACAUAUUGUUAGCAAAACACAGUGUAUAAGUAAAUACAUAUUAAUUGCUUGGUAAGGAAAAAUCUAGAUUAAAUCAUGAUCAUAGGAUUGUUAUCAAUUGUCAAUAUUAAAUAUAUGUUAAUGAUACAAUGUCGCAUGACUUGAGCUGACUUUAAUUUAACCAAAAAUCAUAUAACAACUUUAUUUAAUGAAAAGGAUAUAAAAAUUAAUGAUGAGGACAAGCUAAAAGAAAACAAGCUUAAAUAAAGGGCCACAAACUGGAACUAAGUCCAGCGUGCAAAACAUUUUUUCUUUUUCAAUCCAUGCCACUGACGGAACAUUACCUUCCAUCAGCCCAAAUCGUUAAAUUUUGAAUUUCAAACAGGAACUAAGUCCAGCGUGCAAAACAUUUUUGCUUUUAACGAUGACGGAACAUUACCAAAUCGUUAAAUUUUAAAUAAAGGCAAACUGGAACUAAGUCCAGCAUGCAAAACAUUUUUUCUUUUUCAAAUCCAUGCCACUGACGGAGCAUUACCUUCCAUCAGCCCAAAUCGUUAAAUUUUGAAUUUCAAACAGGAACUAAGUCCAGCAUGCAAAACACUGCUUUGAAGCUCAUGUCGACUUAUUGACCAAAAGACUUGGAGAGCUUGUUCAUCCAUCACAUGUCGACUUAUUCUUUGCUCAUGGACCAAAAGAUUGCUUUGAAGCUCAUCAAUAGAUAAGGUGUCCAGUGUUGGAAUAUAUUAGUAUUCUAAGUAUUAUAUUGUUUGAGUUUUCUUAUAAGUUUAGUUUGGGCUUAACCUGUUAGCAUUAGUGUUAGGGUUAGAGUUAGUUUAUUAUAAAUAGCAUGCUUGUUAGUCAGUUGAGAACAAGCUAUUCACAAUGUAGUCUCUUAGGGUUUUGUAGCCGUUUCGGCAUUCUCGUUUAUUUAAUAAUAUUCUUAUUUUGUUAGUCUUGUUCGUUGCGCACUCUGAUAUUCAACUUGGUAUCAGAGCAGGUUUCAUCAUUCGGGAUUUAAUCUGCUUUGGGUUGGUAUUCGUUUGCUUGUGUCCGUUGUCGUUCAUGUUCAGAUUGUCUAGUUGUUUUUUACAGUUUGCAAGGAAAAACAAUGUGUUAAUUUUUUUCAGUUGUGUUGACGGCCUGCUGUUUCGCCGCCGUCGUCGACCACCACCCAUUGCCAGACCCACCUGAACAAUCCACACCUGACCCAUCUCUGUCAAGCCGUACUAGAUCCUUUUGCACCACUUUGAUCCGCACCUAUUAAACCUGCAUCUCGCUCGCCUCGAACCAGCCUCGCCACCUGCUUGAAUCUCCCGCGCCGACCCAUCACCUGCAACUCAGUCCUAAAUCUCUUCGUCCUCGCUGCACUUGCUCGCACCCACCAAGCACCAGCACCGACAGAACCAUACAUGCUCCAUUCGAACCAGACCACCAGCCAUCCUCGUACCUUGCACACCUCCAUUUGAAUCUGUUGCACUCCCUGUACCCGCAUCCUCGCCGCUGCUUGAACCGCUGCACUACUUCCGCAAGCCCAGACGACAUGACCUGCUUCCUGUUGCUAGAAUCACCGAAGCCCGUAUCUGCACCUGCGUUUGUUUUGCACGAAUUGAGCAUAGAAAAGGGUUAAAAAAAAAGGAAAAAAAAAGUUAUGGAGCCCACGAUCCGUUGGCUAUUACAAUUUGUUUGAAGUAAUAGUAAUUUGUUUGUUCGUUUGUUGCUACAAUUGAGAUAUGGAAAUCUCGUCCGUUUAGUGACGGGUUCUUUCUAUACUCUCAACACUAGCCAAUUUGAACUAGAAUUAGUUUGCCAACAAGAAUCAAGAAUCAAGAAUCAAUUGUAGAUUUGCCAGUCAAGUCAAGUCAAGAAUCAAGUCAAGUCAAGUUAAGUAAAGAAUCAAGAAUCAAGUCAAGUCAAGUCAAGUCAAGUUUGCAUGCCUGCCAGUCCGCCUAACGGAGCCAGUCCGCAUUUGCUUGUUUGCAAACCCAUGUCGUAUACCGCCAUGAGUUUGACGGGGGGUGUUGGAAUAUAUUAGUAUUCUAAGUAUUAUAUUGUUUGGGUUUUCUUAUAAGUUUAGUUUGGGCUUAGCCUGUUAGCAUUAGGGUUAGGGUUAUAGUUAGUUUAUUAUAAAUAGCAUGCUUGUUAGUCAGUUGAGAACAAGCUAUUCACAAUGUAGUCUCUUAGGGUUUUGUAGUCGUUUCGGCAUUCUCGUUUAUUUAAUAAUAUUCUUAUUUUGUUAGUCUUGUUCGUUGCGCACUCUGAUAUUCAACUAGAUCGUUGGAUUCCUCAAUGGAGCAAACUACAUAAUCAUAUUUCGGGGUCAUGGACCUCAAAAUUUUCUCUAUGAUUACCACAUCAUCCAUCUUCUCCCCAUGAAUUCUCAUCAUGUUUGCUAUAGCAAGUGUUCUCCCAAAAUAAUCAUUGACUGUUUCUCCAUUCUUAAUGUGCAGCACCUCGAAUUCCUUGCGAAGAGCCUGCAGUUGAGCACGUUUUACACGUGCAGUUCCCUGAUAUUUUUGUUUCAAAGAAUCCCAUAUAUCCUUCACAGUAUCCUUCUUCAUGAUGGUCUCCAAUAUUAACCGAUCUAUGGCUUGGAACAAAUAGUUCUUAGCCUUCAAGUCCUUCAGCUUCAAGUCAUCCAGAGUCUUCUUCUGUACUUCACUGGAUUCCAAACCUCCUGCAGCAGUGAUCCCAAACUCCACCAAGUUCCAAUACUCUUGGAACGAAGAAAGUUUUCCAUCAGCAUACUCCAAUGGUCGUAGUGUCCAUCGAACCUUGGAAUGACUGGUUGCACAAAACUGUUCUCAGACGCCAUGUCUUGUUUCUUCACUCUAGCACCUAGGUUGCAAGCUUUUGAUCAGGCCCCGUAGUGGGGCUCUGAUGCCAAAUGUUAGAACCAAGAAAAACGCAGGAGUUUCUGCAAUGCAACACUAGAGAGCUUUCAUGAAAUCAGGGAGAAUUUCUUAUUCAGUGAAAACUACCAUCAUGGCUAUUACACUUGAACUGAAAGGAAAUAACAACUGCCCACGAUUUUACAGUUCCUAUAAUCGUGGUAAAGACUACGUCAAAACAGAAAAUGCAUAGUUAUCCCUCAAGAAUAGGGAUUAUUGAAUAACAACCCUUAAAACUAGGAAUCCUAGCUAUACGGGGAACCCUAGCAGUAACGAAAAACCCUAACAACUUUAACAUGGUGAGGCUUAUGUUACUGUUGAUGGGUUUGGUUAACAGGGUUUUCAUUCCUUUUCAGAUUUGUUUCGACACACACUUCUCGAAAUUUGCAAGAUGCUAUGUGAUAUAAUCAAAUGAACAAUUUGAUGUCAGUAGUUUGAGGGAUCUGACCGCAACACACAGCAGCAGCGAUGGGGGAGGAGAAGCGGCACCAGUUGAUGCAGAACCUAUUCGGUGAUCAAUCUGAAGAGGAAGAGGAAGAGGUUGAUUCCGAGCAUGAGUCCAAUCCCCAGCCCAAUUCUGUAUGAUUCUCUAAUUUCAAGUUUCCUAUCUAUUCUGAUUCCAAAAGCAUGUUUGGGAAUGAUAAGGGUUUCAAUUUCUGCUUUAAUCUUUUAGCUGAAGGAAGAUAUAGGUUGUUUUUCUGUUAAUGGCGGUGGAUGAUUUGGAUGAAAGUGUGAAUCUUGGCGAUUUUUUUUGCUUGCAGUUGUUUAGGCCUAACUCCGCCUAUGUCUUACAUGGCCGGUCCCAAGCCCGGAUAAAAGAGGAGGGGGAGGGCGUCAGGUAGUCGACAGCCGGCACUCCAUGAUCACGUCGAAUCCUUAUGAAAAUGAAUCCAGAACAAAAUCGCGCUAAAGCUAGGGCGUCACCCGUAAGUGGCGCGCUGUGUGGCCCGAGCACAGUGAUAAGUGAGCAAGGGUCGCUGUAUCUCCAUCGGCACCCGGAUGCAGUGUUAAAUGAGCAAGGGGGCCAUAGAAACUUCUUUUCGAACGACUCCACUCAAAGUUGUUUGGGAGCAUAUGCUCCUAUCAACUUUACCCGGGACACACAAAAGAAGUACUUUGAUCCUAUUAGACGGGGGAGGGUGAAGAAGCUAGGACAGAAGGGUAGAGUUUAAGAGAGCAAAAUGCGUUUAGGAACGUGGAAUAUAGGAACCUUAACGGGAAAAUCUAUGGAAGUAGUGGAAGUUAUGGUGAGGAGAAGGAUAAAUAUUAUGUGCCUACAAGAAAACUAAGUGGGUUGGUAGUAAGGCAAAGGAUCUAGAAAACUCAGGGUUUAAACUUUGGUAUUCGGGCACAAAUAGAACGAGAAACGGUGUUGGCAUCAUCGUGGACAAGACCUUGGUACAAGAUGUUGUAGAUGUCAAGAGGGUCGGAGAUAGAAUCAUGGCAAUCAAGAUUGUAAUAGGACAAGAACUUAUCAAUGUGAUUAGUGCGUACGCACCUCAAGUAGGGUUGGAUACGAGUUCAAAGGAGAAAUUUUGGGAAGAUCUUGGAGACUUGGUGCAAGGAAUUGCUCAGACGGAGAAGUUAUUUAUAGGAGGAGAUUUAAAUGGACACGUGGGCAGGGAGACAGGCAACUAUGGAGGUUUUCAUGGUGGCCAUGGUUUUGGGGAGAGAAACGAGGAUGGGGAAGCUAUCUUGGAUUUUGCAAUGGCAUAUGAUCUCUUCUUAGCCAACACCUUCUUUAAGAAGAGAGAAGAACAUGUGAUCACCUACAAGAGUGGAUCGUCAAAAACACAAAUAGAUUUUCUUCUAAUGAGGAAAGGGGAUCGUAUAACUUGUAAGGAUUGCAAAGUUAUACCAGGAGAGAGCGUGGCUAAUCAACAUCGCUUGUUGGUGAUGGAUGUACAUAUCAAAAGAGUAAGACAAAAGAACAAGACUUGGAAGUGCCCAAGGACUAGAUGGUGGAAUCUAAAAGAAGAAAAACAAGUCAUUUUCAAAGAGAAGGUAAUCACCCAAUGUGUGUGGAAUAGAGAGGGGGAAGCUAGCCAAAUGUGGGAUUCCAUGGCUAGUUGUAUCCGAAAAGUAGCAAAAGAGGUAUUAGGAGAGUCCAAGGGCUUUGCCCCACACCAAAAGGAAUCUUGGUGGUGGAAUGAGGAGGUACAAACAAAGGUGAAGGCUAAGAAGGAAUGCUGUAAAGCCUUAUACAAGGAGAGGACCGAUGAAAAUGGUGAAAGGUAUAGAAAAGCGAAGCAAGAGGCGAAGAAAGCUGUCAGAGAAGCUAAGUUAGCGGCUUACGACGAUAUGUAUAAACGACUAGAUACCAAAGAAUGAGAGUUGGAUAUCUAUAAACUAUCUAGAGCAAGGGAAAAGAAGACAAGGGACCUAAACCAAGUGAGGUGCAUCAAGGAUGAGGAUGGAAAGGUUCUUGCUACAGAGAACGCGGUUAAAGACAGAUGGAGAGGUUAUUUUCAUAAUCUUUUCAAUGAAGGACAUGAAAUGAGUGCUUCUUUAGGGGAGUUGAGUAACUCAGAAGAGUGUAGAAACUACUCUUUUUAUCGUCGAAUCCGGAAGGAAGAAGUGGUUGUAGCUUUGAAGAAGAUGAAGCAUAAAAAAGCAAUAGGCCCAGACGAUAUACCAAUUGAAGUGUGGAAACUUUUGGGAGAGACAGGUAUAACAUGGCUCACUGACCUUUUCAAUAGGAUUUUGAAAACGAAGAAGAUGCCAAAUGAGUGGCGAACGAGCACUUUGGUGCCUAUCUACAAGAAUAAAGGCGACGUACAAAAUUGCAUGAACUAUAGGGGUAUUAAGCUAAUGAGUCAUACAAUGAAGCUCUGGGAGAGAGUCAUUGAGCAUAGAUUGAGGCAAGAGACACGGGUUUCGGACAACCAAUUCGGGUUCAUGCCAGGGCGCUCAACCAUGGAGGCAAUCUAUCUUUUACGAAGAUUGAUGGAAAGAUAUAGAGAUGGGAAAAAAGAUUUACACAUGGUCUUUAUAGAUUUGGAAAAAGCGUAUGAUAGGGUCCCAAGAGACAUUCUUUGGAGGAUUUUAGAGAAGAAAUGAGUACGAGUAGCAUAUAUCCAAGCUAUAAAGGAUAUGUAUGAAGGAGCAAAGACUGCCGUAAGAACUCAUGAAGGACAAACCGAAAGCUUUCCCAUAACUGUAGGAUUACAUCAAGGCUCAUCCUUAAGUCCUUACCUUUUUACGUUGGUAAUGGAUGAGUUAACAGGACAUAUUCAAGAUGAUAUUCCUUGGUGUAUGCUUUUCGCAGACGAUAGAGUGUUGAUAGAUGAAACUCAGGAAGGGGUAAAUGCAAAGCUUAACCUUUGGAGAGAAGUGUUGGAAUCUAAAGGUCUUCGCCUAAGCCGAUCAAAGACAGAAUAUAUGGAGUGCAAGUUCAGUGCAAAUGGAGGCCAAAACGAGUUAGGGGUGAGGAUCGGAGAUCAAGAAAUACCAAAGAGCGACCGUUUUCGUUACCUAGGAUCUAUCUUGCAAAAGAACGGAGAAUUAGAUGGAGAUCUCAACCACCAUAGAAUACAAGCUGGAUGGAUGAAGUGGAAGAGUGCAUCCGGCGUGUUAUGUGACCGCCGUAUGCCACUGAAGCUCAAAGGAAAAUUUUAUAGGACGGCAAUAAGGCCGGCGAUGCUGUAUGGCACAGAAUGUUGGGCGGUGAAACAUCAACACGUACACAAAAUGGGUGUAGCGGAGAUGAGGAUGCUUCGUUGGAUGUGUGGGCACACGAGAAAGGAUAAGAUUAGGAAUGAGGAUAUCCGGGGUUAAAGUAGGAGUAGCCGAAAUUGAAGGAAAGAUGAGAGAAAUCGGUUACGGUGGUUUGGGACAUGUGUGGACAUGUGCAAGAAGGCCUACUGACGCUUCGAUUAGAAGAUGCGACUAUGGGACAGAGGUUCAGGGCCGAAGGGGUAGAGGAAGACCUAGGAAAACUUUGGAAGAGACUCUAAGAAAAGACUUAGAGUACUUGGAUCUAACGAAGGACAUGACACAGGAUCGAGCGCAAUGGCGUUCUAAGAUUCAUAUAGCCGAUCCCACUCAGUGACUUGGAUUUUCCAAGUCUCCAACCAAGAAGUUUUCCUCACUUGAAAAAUUAAGGGAACACUACCCCAACCUACAUGCUCCACUCAGAAAGCUUCAACAUACAAGCUUCAACAAAAGAAAAUUCAAAGAACUUAGCGAAGAAGGCUUUGGUGUAUUUAACACAAUACGUUGAAAUGAAGGAAAGCUUAUUUAUUGAUAUCCCCGAUAAGCUACAAAUAUGUCCAUAUACAUGAAUCAAAAUAAACACACAAGAGGGAGCCUUCACAAAGGUUGCUUAGGAGAAGUCUGAGCAGUCGGUAGAGCUCCAGAAAGAGAAGGCACCGGAGGGGGAUCAUUUGGAGCCUCAGUACUGGACAGAACCUUAGAAGGAGGAGGCAUCAGAGGUUGAUCAUUUGGAGCUUCAUUACGCACUACAGCCCCAGAAGACGAAGGCAAUAAAUGCCUUUGGAACAAACCCACAAAUCUCUGAUGAUCAAGUAAAACCUGACCAUCAGUUUCCUUCAUCUGGUCAAGCUUCCUCUUCAUGUUUGUAGCAUAGUCAUGUGCGAGCCGGUGCAACUGUUUAUUCUCAUGCUUGAGCCCCCUAAUCUCCUGUUUGAGACUCAUCACUUCAGCCGCCAAUGAUUCAACUUGGCGGGUUCGAGCAAAUAGGCGUUGGGCCAUAUUAGACACAGAACCUGCACACUGAACACUAAGAGCCAGCGAAUCCUUAACAGCUAACUCAUCAGACCGUUUGGAAAGUAGUCUGUUAUCUUUGGGAGUGAGAAGGUUCCUGGCCACCACCGCAGCGGUCAUAUCAUUCUUCAUCACGGAAUCCCCAACGGUAAGAGGACCAGUAGGGGAGACGAAGGAUGGGCGCCAUAUGUUGUCUGGAGAAGGCGGGGCUGCCUCUUCAACAAGGUUCAAGUCAAAACGACGGUCAGAGGGGCCAGACAUUUUCAAAGGUGUUGAAGAGAGAAGAGGUCGGACAAAUCAAGAUCUUAGAAGUGCAAGAAUGAAGCUUCUACUGGUGGAGAUUCAAGUGUGCUUUGGAACUUAAUGCUUGAUUUAGCCCCUAUAAAAAUCUGCACUCGACGGAGCUUCAGAUAUCGAAGAGGCGCCUGCUCAGAAAUCGAAGAGGCGCUUUUCUUUGAUUCGAAAGCUCAGGCUGGCUUUGAGAAUCAAAGAGAAUCUCAGAAAUCGAACAGGCGUUUGCUUUCUCAAAAGUUGGGGCUGCUCAAAGACCACGAAAGCCGAUCUCAGAAAUCGAAGAGGCGUUGCUUUCUCAACUUCAAAGACUCACGGGGCCGAUCUCAGAAAUCGAAGAGGCGCUCGCUUUCUCAAAAGCUGGGCUCCCAGAGACCACGAGGGCCGAUCUCAGUAAUCGAAAAGGCACCUACUUUUCCAACCUUGUCAGCACCUGUCACACGCACACUCAGCUUUGCGGAAAUUAUGGGCAUUCUGUCGAAGACUUCUGGGGAAGGUAGAAAACACAUGAAUCUUACUGUUCAAUCACCCACUUCCCACACGCAACAAUAGCUCAUGGGUACCGCAGAUAACUUUGCCAAAGUUCUCUGCCAAAGUUGAGCACGUGAAGCUUGCAGCUCCCACUACAUCGCUCUGACCAAGAAGGGUAAAAGAAUAGCAAAGAAACAGCACUAACAAAGUUUAGACCCAUAAAUUUUGAAGGUCUAGCUACCAUAUUAUUACCCACAAGGGUAAAGGAACAGUACCACUGCUGGAUAAUUGGAAAGUCCCUGUGUGUCAACCUCUGUGCUUCGCGGCAAGAUAGACUAGCAAACAUGCCCAACCUUUACUCACAUUCGAGAAAACACUCCCAAUAAGAUUGCUUGCUCCAAAAUCGAAGAGGCACCGUCCUCCGAAUCUCGAGAACUAAACUCCCAACAUGACUACUUUCUUAAAAAUCGAAGAGAGGGUAAAGGAACAGUACCAUUGCUGGAUAAUUGGAAAGUCCCUGUGUGUCAACCUCUGUGCUUCGUGGCAAGGUGGACUAGCAAACAUGCCCAACCUUUACUCACAUUCGAGCAAACACUCCCAACAAGAUUGCUUGCUCCAAAAUCGAAGAGGCACCGCCCUCCGAAUCUCGAGAGCCAGACUCCCAACAUGAUUACUUUCUCAAAAAUCGAAGAGACAUUGCUCCCCGAAUCUUCGAGAGCCAGACCCCCAGCAUGAUUGCUUUCUCAAAAUCGAUGAGGCAUCGUUCUCCGAAUCAAUCGAAGAGGCGCUCGCUUUCUCAAAAGCUGGGCUGCUCAUAGACCACGAGGGCCGAUCUCAGAAAUCGAAGAGGCACCUACUUUUCUAGCCUUGUCAGCAUCUGUCACACGCACACUCAGCUUUGCAGAAAUUAUGGGCAUUCUGUCGAAGACUUCUGGUGAAGUAGAAAGCACAUGAAUCUUACUGUUAAAUCACCCACUUCCCACACGCAGUAAUAGCUCAUGGGUACCACAGAUAACUUUGCUAAAGUUCUCUGCCAAAGUUGAGCACGUGAAGCUUGCAGCUCCCACUACAUCGCUCUGACCAAGAAAGGUAAAAGAAUAGCAAAGAAACAGCACUAACAAAGUUUAGACACAUAAAUUUUGAAGGUCUAGCUACCAUAUUAUUACCCACAAGUGUAAAGGAACAGUACCACUGCUGGAUAAUUGGAAAGUCCCUGUGUGUCAACCUCUGUGCUUCGUGGCAAGGUAGACUAGCAAACAUGCCCAACCUUUACUCACAUUCGAGAAAACACUCCCAACAAGAUUGCUUGCUCCAAAAUCGUAGAGGCACCGUCCUCCGAAUCUUGAGAGCCAGACUCCCAACAUGACUACUUUCUCAAAAUCGAAGAGAGGGUAAAAUAACAGUACCAUUGCUGGAUAAUUGGAAAGUCCCUGUGUGUCAACCUUUGUGCUUCGUGGCAAGGUAGACUAGCAAACAUGCCCAACCUUUACUCACAUUCGAGAAAACACUCCCAACAAGAUUGCUUGCUCCAAAAUCGAAGAGGCACCGCCCUCCGAAUCUCGAGAGCCAGACUCCCAACAUGAUUACUUCCUCAAAAAUCGAAGAGACACUGCUCUCCGAAUCUCGAGAGCCAGACCCCCAGCAUGAUUGCUUUCUCAAAAAUCGAAGAGGGCAUCGUUCUCCGAAUCUCGAGAGCCAGAUACCACAGACCAUUUUUUCAAAAGUGCUCUGACAGAGUUAAAACAUGUGAAACUGGCAGCUCCCACUACCGUGCUAUGACCAAACAGGGUAAAUGAAUAGCAUUACUACUUGUUGUUAGGAAGACUCCUAUAUAUGUCGACCCCCAUCCCCAACGGACAGGCAGACCUGCAAAAAUGCUCAACCCUUCAUCAUAUCUGAGAGGACACUCCCAACGAAGCCUUUCGAAAUAUUCAGCUUUCUUUCCCCCCGAUAAUACCUCUACAAACAAGCUAUACUAGAGCAAGAAUAUCUCAUAUCAUCAGGGUUAAAAGCAAGAGUAUCCCAUAUCAUGCUUUUUCCCUAUCUUUUCCUUUGGCCUUGUUUUUACCUGCAAGACAAGGAGAAAGAGAGCAAUCAGUCAGCACUUGGAAUCAAGCUUCCAGCCAGGAACUGACUGCCUGGAACCCCUUACCUGAUUACUUACCUGGCAUUGCUCUCGAGUACUCAUCUUCAACAUCUUAUGUUUCCAGGGAAGAUUCCGCAUCUGCUUGAGGAACAGAUAGGGCAAGUGCGAAGGAUAUAAGGAAGCAUGUGGAGACAAGCGUAACAGCACACGUGCCGAUACAUCCAUUACUCUGUCAAAAGCAAAAGUAUCCCAUAUCAGCAGGGUGGAACGUACUCUAGAUUUGAUGGACUUGUUUUGACCCUCAAAUUCUUCAGUCGGCCUUAUACUCUGGAGGAAACCAGAAAACCCUCCAGCUCAGUUCAAGAAUAAGCCUGUGGAAAGUUACUUCUUCAAAAGCAAAAGUAUCUCAUAUCAUCUCUUCUCAUUUUUCUUCUCUUUAUCCUUCAUGCUGCUGCAAGAUGGGGAGAAGGUGAACAAUCAAUCGGAGCUCUGAUUGCUUACCUUGUCUGUCACCUCUUUCAGCAGACUCCUUAGCUCGGCGACUUGGGGGACUCCUACUACAUGGUUUGUAUCGCGCUUGACCAAGCCUGAAACUACAAGUAAGCUUCAAGUGAAAUUGAUACAUUACCUUGUGCAUCUCCACCAGUUAAAGAUACCACCCCUGGAUGGAGGAAGAGUACUUCCAGAGAAGAUGCCACAUCUACCUAUGAGACAGAUAAGGCAAGUCAAGACAACACCAUACUCCGAUACUUAGAAGUUUCGUGAUUACGAGAUCAUUCUCACACAAUAUUUCCUAAUGUCAUUUGUACUAAAUCAUUCACUUGUACUCACUAAAGGAGAGCUUGAACCUAUGUACUUGUGUAAACCCUUCACAAUUAAUGAGAACUCUUCUAUUCCGUGGACGUAGCCAAUCUGGGUGAACCACGUACAUCUUGUGUUUGCUUUCCUAUCUCUAUCCAUUUAUAUAUUUAUCCACACUAAUGACCGGAGCAAUCUAGCGAAGAUCACAAAAAGCGACCGUUUUCGCUACCUAGGAUCUAUCUUGCAAGAGAACGGAGAAUUAGAUGGAGAUCUCAACCAUAGAAUACGAGCUGGAUGGAUUAAGUGUAAGAGUGCAUCCAGCGUGUUGUGUGACCGUCGUAGGCCACUGAAGCUCAAGGGAAAAUUUUAUAGGAUGGCAAUAAGGCCAGCGAUGUUGUAUGGCACAGAAUGUUGGGCGGUGAAGCAUCAACACGUACACAAAAUGGGUGUAGCGGAGAUGAGGAUGCUUCGUGGGAUGUGUGGGCACACGAGAAAGGAUAAGAUUGGGAAUGAGGAUAUCCGAGGUAAAGUAGGAGUAGCCGAAAUUGUAGGAAAGAUGAGAGAAAAUCGGCUCCGGUGAUUUGGACAUGUGCAAAGAAGGCCGACUGACGCUCCGGUUCGAAGAUGUGACUACGGGACAGAGGUUCAGGGCCAAAGGGGUAGAGGAAGACCUAGGAAAAUUUUGGAAGAGACUCUAAGAAAAGACUUAGAGUACUUAGAUCUAACGGAGGACAUGACACAAAACCGAGCGCAAUGGCGUUCUAGGAUUCAUAUAGCCGACCCCACUUAGUGGGAAAAGGCUUUGUUGUUGUUGUUGUUGUUGUUGCAGUUGUUUAGGCCUGGACUGAAGAAGUUUUGUAGAAUGAGAUUCUUAUGAGUAGUCAAUUUUAGUGGGAUUGUUGUUUCAAUCUAGAUAAUGAAUGAUGUCGUUUCCCUAUUCGGUCUGUCCUUUGACAGUGUAGCAGAUCUGGAAUUUUGUGAAAUGCUCUUUAUUGAGAAUGAAGAGCCACAAAUUGAAGACGAAUAAAAAAAAUUUGCAUGUUCUGAUUAGAAAUAUAGAAUUGGUUUUAAAUUAUUUUCUUGACUGUUUGGUUCUGAUGUGCUUUACCGAUAAAUCAUGGGUUUGCAAGAUAUUUUUUGUUGUUUUCUCUUGCCGUUGACUGGGGAUGUGGGUGAUCCUGUUACCCUGUACACCGCAGUACAGGGCGGUAACAAGAUUAUCUAUUGUGCUACUGCACUCUCUAUAAUCAGCGGAGACCUCUAUAGGGCUGAUCAAGGAGGGGUCUACAAUCUUACCAAAGCAUUUCAGGUGUGGUCGUUAUUGCCAUAUCCUUGAAAUGCUCCUUUUUUACAUUUAGUAAUCUGUUUCGGUUUUGAUGUCUUUUAAGUUCUUGGGUUUGUUCAAUGUUGGAUUUGAAUUUUACCCUUCGAGAGUCGCUUAUGUGAAGCUUUUGACUGUUUGCAUUGCAGGACUAUAACAACAAAAUGGCGCAAUUACGAGCAGGAAAGAGUGGCAAGAGCAAACUUACAAUUGUAAAGUUCAAGACUCUGGAGUCAGUGGAUGGAUGGGAAGUUCGUCAGGGGACUUAUUUUCAGGAUGUGGUUGCUUCCAAGUAUGAUGGAGGAAUGGAUGCCAAGUUCGAAUUCACUUCACCAGAGAUGCUGUUUUCUUUUACUCUAUUUCUUGCUGCAUUGUAGGAUAUGUUUUCACCACGGGAGGGUAUAUUGAGCUGUCUGAAAAGCUUUCACUUCCUUUGGGUCAAACCCUCGACCGGUAUAUGCCAUAUUUGCAUUCUCAAAUGGAGCUACUAAGCUAAAAGCAGCUUCCCAAAAUAAAAUUCAUGGUAUUUUUCUUAUUAUUAUUUUCUUAGAAUUUGAACACAAAAUGAAUUCAUUUAAUAGAAAAUCAUUUGCAACAGAAAUUACCUGAUGAAUUUGCUGCACAGCUACGACAUUCUAACAACAUUUAGUCAAUUUGAGAAGCAAGCUGUGCAAGUUAAGUUGCAUUCUGUUUACUUAAUUUUCUGUGUUUUUUCUUUUGCUGUUUGGAUUUAGGAGCUAAAACAUUCGUCUUUUGCAAUGUUUUUAGGUGGAUGAUGCUAUCUGGGCUGCUGAAAAAGCCACAUUUAAAGCUGAGAUGAGUGGAAAGAAGCUAAUGCACUCAUGGAACAACUUCAGACAUUUCAAGCGUGGCUUUGGGAUUCUGCAACAGUCCCGGGUUUGAGGAUUACAUAAAAAGAGGGCUGGAACCCAGCUAGUCGAAGCUGGGGGGCUAGGCCCUCACGCCCAUAAUAUAUUACUUGAAAAAAAAGACAUACAACGGGAGGGACAUAAUACUUAAACCCCAAUGAUAAAAAAGCAAAAUCAUAUACAACCACUCUAAGCAAUCAACAUGGGCAUCACAUAUUGAAUCCAAAAGGUUGACGCCCCAUAUAAUUGAAAAUAAGGAAAUUAAAGAGACUAAAAAAGAAUAAUUGAAGUUGGUGGGUGAGAAAGCAAAAGUGUGGACGACGAAAUCUUUGAUCCAUAUGGUAUGUCAUCUGAAAAGAAAAAUAAAAUGCUGGUGACAAUGAAUGAAGAAUUGAAAGUAAGAAACGAGAUUGGCAUGUAUUUCAGAGUUUAUACUGAAUUAGGCUAGUGUAAAUUGAAAUAAGUUAGAAAACGCACCUUAACGAAUGUCAAUGUGUGGGAUGUGUGCAAUCUUAGGCCAGUCCUCACCUGUUUCUUUCCGGCACCUUGCGCUUAAAAUGGGGCAACAAAGAAUGUGCAAUGUAGAAAGACAGGGGAGUGCACGAGUCCCUUCUGGCAGUGAAGUUAGAUUAGGACACCAGUUGAUAUACAACGUAGAAAGACAGGGAAAAGAAGGGAACGACAUAUUUUCCGUUGAUGAAGAAGAAGAAGCACUGUUUUGAGUGUGCGCCCUCCACCAUCCCUUCAGAACAGGGCAAUGUGCUAUGGAGAGCUGCUCCAGGGAGGGAAAGAGUGAGAUCCUCAUCAUCUCAUCACUCAUACUAUUACUGCUCUCUUUCUCUGAUAUGUACUCCAACUUCUCCAAACAUCGAAGUUCAAGGGACUUAAGGGAAGGCAAAUGAUCCAAGGGUGGAAGAUGUUGGCAUCUCUCACAUCCAUUCAAUCUGAGAUUAACAAUAUUAAUGAGAGAAGAAACCCAACUCGCAAACCUCACACCACCAUAUAAGUUUAUGGACAACUGCUUUAGAUUAGAAUGGGGUUGCAAUACUUCCAUUGACUUUAUAAUAUCCUCCUCAUCAACUGCGCUUACAUCUUCUCCAAGUUUCCAGGAUAAAUCCAACGAAUGGAGAUGCUGUUUGUCCUUGAGAGGUGUACCAACAUUUGAUUCUGACACCACAUCUUUCUCCUGCCUCAAAUUGCUUAUGACUAAUUUUCCCCUUAAUUCGUUAAGGGUCCCCAGCUCAGCAAGACCAGCACUACCGCCCCUCCCCAAACAAUUGCUUUCGCUCAAAACAAAUCUAUUCAAUGUACGAACACCUUUCAAUUCACCAAUUCCACGUGGCAUUCCACUCAAUCCCCAACAGCCUUCCAAGAUGAGAUGCCUUAAGUUGAACAUUUUUUUAAUGUCUCUAGGCAAUUCCACAAGACUCUGACACCAACUGAGAUCUAGUGUUUCCAAAUUCGAAAGUCCAACUAUCCAACCUGGAAGUUUAUUGAUGCCAGAAUUACGACUAAGAUCAAGAUAUCUCAAAUAUUUCAUUUUUCUAAGACAUUUAGGUACUCCUUUAAUUCCUAAUUUACUGAGACUCAAUAUACGCAAUGACUUAAAAUUUGAAACAAUUAUAGCACAAAAUGAAUCACAUAAUGACCCAUCUAUAUCACUCAACUCAUUCUGGCAAAGAAAAAGAAAAGUUCGUAUCUUUUUUGCUUUUGGCAACGAAGUUGGCACUUCCCAUUCUGACGGAUCGACUUGAAAAUUGAAAGAUACAUGACGAAGCUUUUCAUGAAAAUUCUUUUGGUCUGGUUCAACUACGACGCUUCCAAUCCCCGACACUAAGAUUGCAAGUUCAUUCAUGAGAUCAUGCAUUUUACAACUUCUUAUUAUACCAAACUCAUCUUUUUCUUCUUCUUGAAAAAACGAUCUCCACAACAACUCCCUGUAAUAUUCAUACGCAACAUCCUCCAAACCCUUGUUUUCAUCGGAUGACUUAAUGAACCCUUGCGCCACCCAAAGUCUAAUCAAUCUCUGCACAAAGAUCUUAUAAUCAGGUGGGAACAAGCUACAAUAAGCAAAACAAUGCUUCAAAUGUGAUGGGAGCACAUCAUAACUCAAUUUAAGUGUUGGUAAAAUAUCAUUUUCUUCUUGACUUAUUUUUGAAAGUUCCUUUUCUUUGAAAUUCAACCAAUCACUUUCGUCAUCUUUGGCAAACAACAUCCCACCUAUCGUCCUUAUAGCAAGUGGAACUCCCUGACAUUUUCUUGCAACCUCUUUCGCAACUGCCUUAAUUGUUGAAUUCUCUGUCUCCUUUCCAUCUUUAUAAGCCAUUUUCUUAAAUAAAGACCAACUUUGCUCUUCAUUCAAACCCUUUAAGGUGUAUGAUUUAGCUGUGUCUGAUAUCGUCGCAACGGUUUUACUACGAGUGGUUAUUAGUAUUCUACUACCUUCUCCACCACCCAUUAACAAGUUCUUCAAGCUAAGCCACUUCUCUCGAUCCUCAUUCCACACAUCAUCCAACACAAGUAGGUACUUCUUCCUAGCUACUUUUUUCCUAAGAUCUUUUUGCAACUGCUCAAUCUCGUCAUGAUUUUUGGAUUGAAGGAUUUUCUUAACAACUAUAUCCAACUCAAAUGCAUUAGAGACGCAUGUCCAUAUUUUCAACUCAAAAUGAUUUUGAAUCACCUUAUUGUUGAAUAUGAGUUGGGCAAGUGCAGUUUUCCCCAAUCCCCCAAUUCCAACUAUGGAAAUGGUUGACACAUUCUUAGUUGAGAUAGGAUCCAACAAAAGUUGGAUAAUAGCCUUAGUAUCUUCAUCCCUCCCUACAAUAUUUUCCUCAGGGACAAAUGAGUGAGUGACCCUCUCUCUCUUUAUAAAUCGUGUAUCUUCAUGGUUGUCUUUUAAGUCACUGGGUCUACGAGAUGCAACCUCACUAAUCCUCUUGUUAAUGUUUUUUAUCUUGUGACCCAUCUUUAGCCCAAACACAAGUUGAUUUGAGUUAGAAAAGAAAAGGUGCACCUAUAAGAAUUUGAGUAGACAUAAUCAUUAUUUUGAUAGAAGGAUAUUAAUUAAGUUAAUAGAGUUUUGUAAUAGUAGGUUAUAUGAAACAUUCAAAAUAAUAAUGUAGAAGACUUCCUGCAAUUAAUUAUGAGUUAUUUAGAGAUCUAUUGUAUUCCUAAUAGGUGGAUAUCAAUAGGCUUAUGUGACUAUGAAAAGGUUAUACGUGAUUUAACCGCACAAAGCCUCUAAUAUCUUUUUAGUCAAAUGACUUUGGAUGUGAUUCCUAGUCACCAAUAGUGUUUGACAGAAACCUUGUUAGCUUUUUUUUUUCUUUCUUUUUUUAAUCAAAAUCAUUGACUUUGUACAUCUCAUUAUAUUGAUAUUAAUGUAUUUCCAUGUCAACUAUCUAUUUUUGAAAUUCCUUAAUUUAUGGACUUCAAACUUUAUAAUAAACUAUUCCCUUAAAAGAGUAUAAAAGAAACAAUAAAUAGUAAAAUUUGAAACCAACAAAACAUUAAUCUACUAAUAAUCAAGCGAGUACCUUCUAAACACAUAAAAAAAAUGUUUACAUAUAAUUGGAUUCUCAUAGACACGAAUCCAAAACAAGAAUUGCAAAAUCAUACAUAUAUACAUAUAUAUAUAUAUAUAUGGGUACAUUUUGCAUAGAAAUGUAUCCAUGAGACUAAAAAAUGCAUUCAACUCAUAUAUCAUAUAUGGGUACAUUCUAAACUCAUAAAAAACAAUAAAUGCUGCUAAAUCCACCCCAUUAUCUUAUUUUUCUACUCACUUUUUAGUGGAAGUGUUAAUUACAUAUUUAUUCUUUUAUAAAAAGACUUUUAGAGCAUCUACAAAAGAUAUGUCAAAUAUAGUAUGUUAAAAUUUUAUUUGAUGGCUGAUGUGGCAAAUUGAAUACAAGUGUUAAAUCUUCUUAUUUUACAAUGGAUGUGUCAAAUAUUUAUUUUAUUAUUUUAUUGUGCCUAGAAUUACAUUAACUACUAAAAAAUAAUCAAAAUUAGUUUUAAUUUGUAUUAUAUUGGUUGUUAAUGAGAUUCAUGCAUUAAAAAAAAUAUUAAAUAUAUUUGACUCCUUCUUUAUUUGCUGUUAAAAAAGGCAGCUAGAAAGCAAAAAGUCAAAUGACUCACAUGUCAUAUCAUAUAUGAUAUAUCUAUUGAAGAACACUUGAAUAUCUUUUAAUCCUAUUUGACAUAUUUAACAUUUCUUUUGAAGAUGGUCUUAGACCCUUAUUUAUAAAUUCAUUAUAAUUUUUUUUUUUAAGAAAAGAGAACAAAAGGCCAAACAACCAAAGCCCACCAUACAUCCCGACUUACACAACCCCUCUCCUUACCGCCGCCGCCAAAACCCCCCAUUUUCCAGGCGCUAUCUCUCACCUGCACCAGUAUACCAUAUCCAGAUCUAAGAAACCUCCCAAGGCGCCAAACCCACUCACACCCAUCAAACAAAGAUAUCAAUUCCUCUCAACUACAGAUCUAGGAAAGCAGUAUACAUGAACUUGGAUGGAGAAGUGUGAGAGAGUAGGUCUUUCUCUCAACACAGACUCAUAGUCUCUCUCUUUCUCUCUCAAGUAAACCUUUCACAAUAGGUAGAUUAUGGAUAUGGGUGGAGAGGUGAAGAGAGAGAAAUGGAGGUUUUACCGUCCGGACGGGAUACGUCAAGAGAUUGGGUGGAUCGGUGGUAAAGGAAAAGUGGAGAAAAAGAGUGGCUUUUUUUUUUCUUUGAAGUUUUCAUUUGAAGAGCGAGACAAUGUUUCUUUCUUUGUUGGAUAUUUCCCAGACGUUAUUUUAGAAAUAAAGUGAGUGAAAAAAUAAUAUUUUAAUUUUUUACGCUUUUUAAGAUAGAUGAGAUUAUAAUAUGAGUAAAAAAAUAUGACAAUAAAGAGAGUCUAGCAGCAUUCAAAACAAUUGCAAUUGUACCUAUUACAUAUAUACGGAAGGUAUAAUUGUAGUGUUUUUAUUUUUGGACAAAGGAAGGUAUAAUUGUAGUUACUUGUCAAAAGAAAGUACCCAUACAAUUGCCAUAUAUAAUUAUGGUACAAUUCCUGCAUCCUCCCAAAAGUAAAUUGUUUUCAUGUGUGCACCCCAAAGUUUUUUUUUUAUAAAAAAAUGUACCCGUAUAAUUAGACACAAAUUUCAAAAGAAUGUACCCAUUUAGAUUUAUAAAAAAAAAAAAGAAAAAAAAAGGAGGGCAUCCAUAAGCGUUCUAGCAAAUAAAAUGGACCCAUGAUUAUUAAUAAAGAUUGAUAAAUUCAGUCAAACGAAAAAUGAGAUGAAACUAUUGGAACGUAUAAAAAUUCAUAUUUUAGUUUCAAAUUAAAGGGAUGUUAGGGAUAUCUAGCUGCAAUAAAAUCCCUUAAAUGAUGUAAAUGAUCAAUUAUCCUAAACAGAAAUGAUAUAAAAGGAAAUGUUUAAAUAAAAAGAAAAGGAAAAUCUGACAUGGAAUUUAAUUAAUUUUAAAAAUUUGAUAUGGACAUAAGUCAAAGGCCUUCAAACAAAAAUUUAAAACUAAAAAUGUUUCAUCAAUAAACAUUAGUGACUUGGGAUCAGACUUAAUUAUCCCCAUUUUUUAUUUUAUGACGCAUCUUUAACCCAGUAACAAGUUCAUUUGAGCUAGAAAAAAAGGGCGUAAAUGUAAGAAUUUGGGUAGACACCAUCAUUAGGUCAAUAGAAUUGUAUUAAUUAAGUUAAUAGAAUUUUGUAAUGCUAAGUUAUAUGAAACAUUCAAAACAAUAAUGUUGGGGAUUUAUUACAAUUAAUUAUGAGUUAUUAAGAAACCUAUUGUAUUCCUGAUAAGUGGAUAUCAAUAGGCUUAUGUGACUACAGAAAGGCUCUACGAGAUGCAUCCUCACCAAGCUUCUUGUUAGUAUCUUUUAUCUUAUGAUCCAUCUUUAGUCCAAAAGCAAGUUGAUUUGAGUAAGUUAGAGAAGAAGAGGCGUACCUUUUUUGACACCUUUGUAUUUUCUGGCACCAUUUGUCUUUGUUGAGCUUUAGUAUUAAACUCAUCCAGCACAUCAUCGGCUUCAUAGACUGCAUCUUCUACGCUUUGGAGCCACAAUUUGACUUCAUUGUUGGCUUGCUUUUGCUCAGCGUCAAGAAGAACAGCUUGGAAUGCUACAACUGUCUCCUUAAGCUUCUGGAACUCAUCUUGGACACCCCAGAUCAAUCCAAUCUCUUGGAAAGCAAGGGAGCCUAGCCUUCCGAUGAUCCCUUCUGCAAUGUUGAAGAGAACUCCUUCCGCCAUUUCUUGUAUUCAGGACAAGCAAAAACACAAGUGAAGUGAAUUAAGGUAGAAACCUAUAACUGAGAAUAUGGUUUUGCGUAGUACUAGAUAGCUCGUCCCUGCUCGUCUUUAUAUGCCCACUCAUCCAACCACUCAUACGUUAUUCCAUGAAUAAAUUAAAAACAAAGACUUGUCACCAAUUCACUAAUGCCAACCUGGUCCUUAACGUUUAGUUGCAUUUUUAAACCCAUCUGCAAUUUUAUCAGUUGGUGAAACACAAUUAUAAAUGGACCAAAACUAAAUAUACGCCACCAAUAUAUAUUGAAUUAAUUGCACUCUUGUCCGACUACCCAUACACCAUUCCAUACAUAAAAUAAAAACAAAGCCUUGUAGCAAUAUCACUAACGCCAGCUUGCUUCUUAACUUUAUGUUGUAUUUUUAAAAUCCACUUGUAAUUUUAUGGUUUUGCGUCGUGAAAGAUGCCCCUCCUGAUGGUCUUUAAUCUCUGUAUGCCCUUCUCUCAUCCAGCCAUUCACACAUUUUGACCGAUGGUUUGGUUCCACUGGUUAAUAUAUUAAAGGAAACUUUAACAAAAAGUUUUCGAUACUAUUUAUUUUAACAAAAAAUCAUAUUUUUACUAUAAAAAGUCAAUCCUGGUACUAUGUAUUUUACCCUUUAUUUUGUUCUUAUCAUUAAAACUUAAAAUUUUCAAAUAAUUUUUAUUAGUUUUCCUUAUAUUAAAUCCAUUUGCAAUUUUGUUGGUAACUCUUGUACUAAUUUAUUUAUGGAAAAAUUAGGUUCUCAUCCUUCAUUUUGCUACUUCAUUGAUUAAAAUCAUAUUCCUUUUCAAAUUUUUAUCAAGGUCCUUUGGUAUUAAUAACAUCAUUAAUUAUUUUAAUAAUAAAAUAUUUUUUUAUUUCUAAAUAUAUUCAUUUAAUUUUAAAAAUGUUACAAUUAGUAUAUUUAUAUUUAUGACUUAAUUUUUUAUCAUAUAUUUUUAGUUUUAGUUUGUACCCAUUUUUAAUUUGUAAUUCUUUUUUAAUUUGUAUCAAUUUUCUUUUCAAUUUUAAUUUGUACCAAUAUAUAUAUAUAUAUUUUUUUUGUGCCCAUAUUUUUUAAAGUUUAUUUGUAUUUGUACCCAUAUAUUUUUUUAUUUGUACUUUUUAUUUUGCUAAAUGUACACAUGCUAAUUAUAUGUACCCAUUCAUGUAAAACUUUUUAAUCUUAAAAUGUACUUAUUCUUAAAUAUACCAAUUUGUUAUAUUUAAAAUGUACCCUUUUUUUUUUAUAUAAAAUCUAUUCAAUUUUUUUCUAAUCCAUUUUUAAACUUAUAUGGGUACAUUCUUUUUUUCUUUGAUUUUAAAUGUAUCCAUGUCAAGUUUAAUCGAAGAAGUUUACUAAUGUUAUUAAGCUAUUAUCUUCUUCUUCUUUUUUGUGAUUUUGAAGAAUGUACCCAUGUUUUGAUACAAUAAUUUUUUUGGUUAAAUUUGAUGAAUGUACCCAUGUUUAUAUAUACACACACACAAUAGUAUAUUUAUAUUUUAAUAUUUUUAAUCCCACAAAUUAUGGUUUUUUAUUUAAAAUCUCAUUUAUAUAAACAACUAAAAUUUCUAAUUUUUAAUUUAAAAAAUAUAGUAACGUACAUAGAAAUAAAUUAUCACAUUAAUUUCAGGGACUUCGAUCAAAAAUUAAAAAUCAACAAGAUUUCAAUAAAAGAAUAUUCAUAGCUAAGGACCGCAUCCAAAGUCUCCCUUUAUUUAUUCAUCCAUCCUCACAAAUUAAUAAAUUAUAGCCGUUGGUUCGGUUCCCCUCCUUUUAUUUCCCUCUACUUUUGUGUUCCCACGCCAUCACGUGGCCACCCCUUAAAUCCGGCUCUCCCCACAGGAUUUAGAGAGAUUUUUCAAUGUGACCGGUAUAUGGGAUGAUACAUCACGUGUCACUAUAUAAAUAGUGGGAUAUGUGUGCUAAAAAGUUAAUAACUUAUAAAAUAAAAUUUCGCACCACUUCUAUUGAAAUACAUGUUAUACCACUUGUAUUCCUAUCAUAAUUAAAAAUUUCUAUAAUAUUUGGAUCCAAAUUCCUCCCCACAUGUUCUCUCCCACACACCCGGCCCACACUCUACCAUAUUAAUAUACCCGCCAUUUGCUCAUUUGUACACCCAGCUAUGCACGUUUCACACUCGGCACUUCCAAACACUCACACAUGAUUUCAUGUAUAAAAUAAAAACAAAGACGUGUCAAUAUGCUAUUGCAUGAGAGAUUUUUCAAUGUGACUAUCACAUGAGGUGGUACAUCAUGUGUUCCUAUAUAAAUGAUGGAAUAUGUAUGUUAAAAGAUUAAUAACUUAAAAAUUAAAUUUUUUUACCAUUUACAUAAAAACACAUGAUAUACCAUCUGUGUUCCCAUCACAACUAAAAAUUUCUCUUAUUUGCUAGUCUUAAUAAUUCAAAUUUGAUUUUUAAUACCAGCUGGUCCUUCACACUUCUUAACUUUUCGGCAGGCUGCUGCACGUUCCUUAUUUUUGGGCAAACCGCUGCACGUUUUUUUUUUUAAUUUUUGGGCAGACCGCUGCACGUUUUUUUUAAAAAAAAAUUUGGGCAGGCCGCUGCACGUUGUUUUUUUAUUUUUGGCAGACCUCUGCACGUUUCUACUAUUUUGUCAAGUAUCUUUAUCUUAUAAGAUGUAAGAUGGAAGAUUGAGAUUGUUUUGAUAGAAGUAUGAAGAUUGCCAAAACUAUGUAAAGUUAGGACACUAGUAGCACGUUUAUUAAUCCGUAAUCAGAUUGAGAGGAAUUGAAUUGAAAAUGAAUUGGAUUGAUGAGAAAUUAUAAUGAGGUGUAAUCAGAAUUAGAUUCUUGUUGAAGUUGUUUACCAAAACUGUCUGAAAUCGGAGUAGGAAUGACAUUGAUGCAUAUAAAUUAUUUACUAAUUCACAUGAAUCAGAAUGAUAACUAAUGUGAUUCCUAAAGUACCCCUACUUAAACUAAUUUAUUGUAUAUGCUAAUUAUUUUUAGUAAAACUUUUAUUCUUUUAUUUUUUUUUUAAUUUUUUACUAGAGAGAAUAAUUUUUUAUCUUUUAUAAAACUUUUAAAUUUUCCUAAUCGCAUAGAUUACUUCCAAAUUUGAUAUGAAAGAAUAGUUUUUUAUUUGCUUCUAACUCUUAAUCACCCUAAACCCUAUUAGAAAUAGGGAACUUUAAUGAAAAGUGUAGACAUCGAAAUUUCGGUAAAUAAAUGUUGACCGAUAAAUCAAAGUGUCAACGCUCAUGUAUUGCAUAAAUUUUACACGUAGCAUGUGACUCAACGAAAAUUGAAAUGAGUUUGAAAAGUCAUCAAAUAAGACACGUGUCAACACCUGGCAGAAACGACUUAUUUCAUCUGGGAUAUUAUAUUCAAAAUUAGGUCUUGGAAAAUUCUAUAAAUACAAGCCCAUUUCAUUCAUUUGGGGGGACCAAUUCAUUAGGCAAAACUCUUGAAGCUCUGAAGCUCUGAAACUCCGAAGCUCUCAAGUAUCCAGGUUCCCGAAGAAUCAAGAAAGCGUUAUUCGUUCAUCGUUCAUCCUAAGAUCAAGCCCCAACGGCCCUUUGGAUCAACAAUCAUCCACCAAUUCAAGAUCAAGCCCCGACGGCCCUUGAAGAAAGUGUUCUUCGUUCAUUGUUCUUCCAAGAUCAAGCCCCGACGGCCCUUGGAUCAACCAUCCACCAAUUCAAGAUCAAGCCCCGACGGCCCUUGAAGAAAGCACCAUCGUUCAUCAUCCGUUCAUCCAAGAUCAAGCCCCAACGGCCCUUUGGAUCAACAACGUCGACAAAUCCACACAUCCAACCGUUCUUCAAGAUCAAGCCCAAAAGCCCUUGAAGAUCCGUUCAUCACUGUUCUUCAAGAUCAAGCUCAAAAGCCCUUGGAGAUCCGUUCAUCACUGUUCUUCAAAGAUCAAGCCCAAAAGCCCCUUUGAAGAUCCGCUCAAAUCCACAUUCAAGAUCAAGUUCACGGCCCUUGAAGAACGUUCAUCCUUAGAUCAAGCCCAACGGCCCUUUGGAUCAAUCACACAUCCACAAAUACACACCUUACGGAGAUCGAAUCAGAGGAUCAAAUUUGAGAGAGAUUGUAACCCAAAAACAUCAUCAAAUACAUAAUAUUUGUUUGUGCACGUUCGUUCUUGUCUCUUUCGUUUCAGGAAUUUUCCUUGUUCACAAAUUGGCACGCCCGGUGGGAUAAUCUCUGCCUCUCAUCUCUUUCUCCGUUCAAGAAAUUCAAGCGCACUUCUAAAAUUAAUGGCAUCAAGGAAGGCUCAUAACUGUUCCCGCAACCGGCACAAAGAACAAAAACGUCCUCGUCGCAACUGGUGUCACUUUGGGCAUCACGACUCGAAGCAUGGCAAGAGCUACUUCUGCCGCCUCUUUCACCUCCGCAUCAACUCUGCCAAGGGAACAAAAGCACCCAAGACACGAGCCUUUGAUCACCUUAGCCUCACUAAGGGCACCAAGGGGGGAAAGCCCAAGGAAAUACUCCAAAUCCAUGCUCUCCGAUGCCGAUUCAAGCGACAGUUCAGCCAUGCAAGUCAUGACCAUUGGAGCAACUUCAAUCGAUGAGCAGCUGGCUCAAAUGAAUGAAGCAAUCGCAAGGCUAACCCGAACUGUGGAAGAAAAAGACUUGCAAAUUGCAGCACUAGUCAACCGAUUGGAGGCGCAAGACGGCGAUAAACCCGACCCAGAGGAUGAUCCACUAAAGGGAGGAGCUGGCGGAGACGAAGAACCCCCGGUGAAGAAAAUCGAUGGGAAGCCGGAGCCAGACCAAGCAGCGGCACUCAUGGGAUCUCUUUCUAUCCAGCAGCUGCAGGAGAUGAUCACCAACACCAUCAAGGCACAGUACGAAGGGAGCUCACAUACCUCAUUGUUCUACUCGAAGCCCUAUUCCAAGAAGAUUGAUGCCCUAAAGAUGCUAAGGGGUUAUCAACCACCAAAGUUCAUGCAGUUUGAUGGAAAAGGAAACCCAAAGCAGCAUGUUGCACAUUUCGUCGAAACUUGCAACAACGCAGGGACGGAGGGAGACUACCUCGCCAAGCAGUUUGUGCGCUCGUUGAAAGGAAAUGCCUUUGAGUGGUACACGGACCUAGAGCCUGAGUCCAUCAACAGCUGGGAGCAAUUAGAACGGGAAUUCCUCAACCGCUUCUCUACAGCACCCGCCGCACUGUGAGCAUGCUAGAGCUAACGAGCACAAAGCAGUGGAAGGACGAGCCAGUCAUUGACUACAUCAACAGAUGGCGCACUCUAAGCCUCGACUGUAAAGACAGGCUCUCGGAAACCUCUUCAAUCGAGAUGUGCAUCCAAGGCAUGCAAUGGGGUUUGCAAUACAUCCUUCAAGGCAUUAAACCGCGGACCUUCGAGGAAUUGGCCACUCGCGCCCAUGACAUGGAGUUGAGCAUCGCCCAUCAUGGGAAGAAAGAACCGAUCGCCGACUACAAGAACGACAAAGCUCUUGGGAUAAAGGUGGAAAAGGCUGCAUGGAAACCCACCAAGGAAGUGAUGACAGUCAACACAUCUCCCGUCAAAAUAUCCACACGAGGCAAGGCAAUUCAAGUCGAAGGCUUUCGUGAUCAAGAGAUGCGUAGACGCACUUUGAAGGAGCUCGAGGAGAAAACUUAUCCAUUCCCCGACUCUGAUGCGGUUGCCAUGUUAGAAGACUUGCUAGAAAAGAAGGUGAUCAGCUUGCCUGAGUGCAGAUGGCCAGAAGAAAUGAAUUGCACCGACAGUCCAAGGUACUGUAAAUUCCACCGCUUCAUCAGUCAUCCGACAGAAAAGUGUUUCGUGCUGAAAGAUCUCAUCAUGAAGCUAGCUCAGAAAGGAAUCAUCGAGCUAGAUCUUGACGAUGUGGGGGAGUCAAACUGUACCACCUUCACUUCUGACUCUUCCGACUCAAAGUUUUCACCUCAACCACUGGGGGCAUCCUCCAAGACAAGCAAAGUAGAAGGAUGGACUCAAGUCACUCCUAAGAAAUUGCACAAGAAGCAUACGUCUCCUCCACAUGUCCGCCAAUCGGAAAGGGGGCAAAGCAGCUCUCGUCAACCUUCAAAGCAACAUGAACGUGUUGAAGAUGAUGAAAUUUCGACACAUAGAUCGUCCAUCCCCAUCACGAUGCGUGAUUUCUUUCCUGAAGACUUCUUCAAUCACUCGGUCAAGGCUCCUUGCUAUGAAGAUUGUGAGGAACGCCUCUCCAAAAUUACUUGACAAAUUCACCAUGCUCCUUGUUCGCACGAGCCUAAACUGCACGAAUCAAAGCUCAUUGUCCACACGAGCCUAAACUGUAGGACACAAAGCUCCUUGUCCGCACGAGCCUAAACUCGUGCCUCGUGCCUGCUUGCCAUGUGUUCGAGUCAACCUUCAAGAAUCAAGCCUCAACGGCCCUUGAAGAAGCUUUCAGCCAAAUUCGAAAUCAAGCCUCGACGGCCCUUGAAGAAAUUCCAAACAAAAGUUCAAGAACAAGCCUCAACGGCCCUUGAAGAAAUCUCAAGCCCAAUUCAAGAUCAAGCCUCGACGGCCCUUGAAGAAAUUUCAAACAAAAGUUCAAGAACAAGCCUCAACGGCCCUUGAAGAAAUCUCAAGCCCAAUUCAAGAUCAAGCCUCAACGGCCCUUGAAGAAAUCUCCAGCCCAAUUCAAGAUCAAGCCUCGACGGCCCUUGGAUCGACAUCUACAGUAAGGGACUUCAAAACGCAUCUCCUACACGUGACAAUCACAUGUAUACGACGUGCUUUGAAGUGGGGGCAUUUGUAGACAUCGAAAUUUCGGUAAAUAAAUGUUGACCGAUAAAUCAAAGUGUCAACGCUCAUGUAUUGCAUAAAUUUUACACGUAGCAUGUGACUCAACGAAAAUUGAAAUGAGUUGGAAAAGUCAUCAAAUAAGACACGUGUCAACACCUGGCAGAAACGACUUAUUUCAUCUGGGAUAUUAUAUUCAAAAUUAGGUCUUGGAAAAUUCUAUAAAUACAAGCCCAUUUCAUUCAUUUGGGGGGACCAAUUCAUUAGGCAAAACUCUUGAAGCUCUGAAGCUCUGAAACUCCGAAGCUCUCAAGCAUCCAGGUUCCCGAAGAAUCAAGAAAGCGUUCUUCGUUCAUCGUUCAUCCUAAGAUCAAGCCCCAACGGCCCUUUGGAUCAACAAUCAUCCACCAAUUCAAGAUCAAGCCCCGACGGCCCUUGAAGAAAGUGUUCUUCGUUCAUUGUUCUUCCAAGAUCAAGCCCCGACGGCCCUUGGAUCAACCAUCCACCAAUUCAAGAUCAAGCCCCGACGGCCCUUGAAGAAAGCACCAUCGUUCAUCAUCCGUUCAUCCAAGAUCAAGCCUCAACGGCCCUUUGGAUCAACAACGUCGACAAAUCCACACAUCCAACCGUUCUUCAAGAUCAAGCCCAAAAGCCCUUGAAGAUCCGUUCAUCACUGUUCUUCAAGAUCAAGCCCAAAAGCCCUUGGAGAUCCGUUCAUCACUGUUCUUCAAAGAUCAAGCCCAAAAGCCCCUUUGAAGAUCCGCUCAAAUCCACAUUCAAGAUCAAGUCCACGGCCCUUGAAGAACGUUCAUCCUUAGAUCAAGCCCAACGGCCCUUUGGAUCAAUCACACAUCCACAAAUACACACCUUACGGAGAUCGAAUUAGAGGAUCAAAUUUGAGAGAGAUUGUAACCCAAAAACAUCAUCAAAUACAUAAUAUUUGUUUGUGCACGUUGUUCUUGUCUCUUUCGUUUCAGAAAUUUUCCUUGUUCACUGGUGAGGCUUAUGUUACUGCUAUGAUUGGUGAGGCUUAUGUUACUGUUGAUGGGUUCGGUUAACUGGGUUUUCAUUCCGUUUCAGAUUUGUUUCGACACACACUUACAGAAAUUUGCAGGAUGCUGUGGUGAUAUUUUCUAUGAUUUAAUCAAAUGAACUAUUUGAUGUCAGUAGUUUGAGGGCUCUGACCGCAACACACAGUAGCAGCAGCGAUGAGGGAGGAGAAGCGGCACCAAUUGAUGCAGAACCUAUUCGGUGAUCAAUCUGAAGAGGAAGAGGAAGAGGUCGACUCUGAGCAUGAGUCCAAUCCCCAGCCCGAUUCUGUAUGAUCCUCUAAUUUCAAGUUUCCUUUCUAUUCUGAUUCCAAAAGCAUGUUUGGGAAUGAUUAGGGUUUCAAUUUCUACUUUAAUCUUAGCUGAAGGAAGAUAUAGGUUGUCUUUUUUGUUAAUGGCGGUGGAUGAUUUGGAUGAAAGUAUGAAUCUUGGUAAUUUUUUUGCUUGCAGUUGUUUGGGCCUGGACUGAGGAAGUUUUGUGGAAUGAGAUUCUUAUGAUUAGUCAAUUUUAGUGGGAUUGUUGUUUCAAUCUGGAUAAUGAAUGAUGUCGUUUUCCUAUUCGGUCUGUCCUUUGACAGUGUAGCAGAUCUGGAAUUUUGUGAAAUGCUCUUUAUUGAGAAUGAAGUGCCACUAAUUCAAGACGAAUAAAAAAAAUUUGCACAUUUUCUGAUUAGAAAUAUAGAAUUGGUUUUAAAUUAUUUUCUUGACUGUUUGGUUCUGAUGUGCUUUACCGAUAAAUCAUGGGUUUGCAAGAUAUUUUUUGUUGUUUUCUCUUGCCGUUGACUGGGGAUGUGGGUGAUCCUGUUACCCUGUACACCGCAGUACAGGGCGGUAACAAGAUUAUCUAUUGUGCUACUGCACUCUCUAUAAUCAGCGGAGACCUCUAUAGGGCUGAUCAAGGAGGGGUCUACAAUCUUACCAAAGCAUUUCAGGUGUGGUCGUUAUUGCCAUAUCCUUGAAAUGCUCCUUUUUGACAUUUAGUAAUCUGUUUCGGUUUUGAUGUCCUUUAAAUGAUUGGGUUGGUUCAAUGUUGGAUUUGAAUUUUACCCUUCGAGAGUUGCUUAUGUGAAGCUUUUGACUGUUUGCAUUGCAGGACUAUAACAACAAAAUGGCGCAAUUACGAGCAGGAAAGAGUAGCAAGAGCAAACUUACAAUUGUAAAGUUCAAGACUCUGGAGUCAGUGGAUGGAUGGGAAGUUCGUCAGGGGACUUACUUUGGGUCGGACCCUCGACCGGUAAAUGCCUGUGUGCAAAGGAUUGUCAUGGCAGCGAGAUCAUGUCGCUCUGGGAAGCUCUUUUGACGGCCGCCGUUGUUGGAGGUCAGUCUCUUCCUCUGCUUCCACUCCACUCCAUUCAUUUUAAUUUUAAUUUUUUGUUUAUAGAGAGAGGACUUAGAAAAACAAAAAAUAUAUUUAUUUUUGUAAUGGUUGUCAUGAAUUUCCUUUUGACUAAACAAAACAUAAUCAGUUUAUUUGCUUUACUGAGAAUGUAGCGUUUAUUGUGAUUAAUUUCGGGUUUUGGAGCUGAUAUGAGUUCCGAGCCGUAUCCAGAGUAGAUUUUGGGGUUGCUUGGGUCUAAGAAUAUUCGGUUACUCUAGCGCAUUGACGAUUAAUAGACGUAAUUCUUUUUACCGUUGUUUGUGUAUAAGUAUGCGACUUAUAUGGUAUAACGUGACAAAGGUUGUUUCUCUUCCAAUACAUCAACAUAUAUUAAAAAGAAAUAUUUAAAGAGGGCUGGAACCCAGUCGAAGCUGGGGGGCUAGGCCCUCACGCCCAUAAUAUUUUACUUGAAAAAAAGAUAUAAAUGGGGGACAUAGUACCUAAACCCCGACGAUCAAAAGCAAAAUUGUAUACAACCACUCCAAGUAGUCGCAUCACAUGUUGAAUUCAAAAGGUUGACGCCUCAUAUAAUUGAAAAGAAGGAAAUUAAAGAGAAACUAAAAAAAAUAAAAAAUAUUGAAGUUGGUGGGUGGGAAAGCAAAAGUGCCGACAACGAAAUCUUUGAUCCACACGGUAUGUUAUCUGAAAAGAAAAAUAAAAUGCUGAUGAUGAUGAAUGAAGAAUUGAAAUUAAGAAAUGAGAUUGGCAUAUAUUUCGUAGUUUAUAUUGAAUUAGGCUAGUGUGAAUUGAAACAAGUUAGAAAACGCACCUUAAUAAUUGUGAAUGUCAAUGUGUGGGAUGUGAGCAAUCUUAGGCCAGUCCUCACCUGUUUCUUUCUUGCAUCUUUCGCUUAACAUGGGGCAUUUCUCAAUCACCAAUGUAUUUAAACAGGGGAGUCCACGAAUCCCUUCUGGCAGUGAUGCCAAAUUAGAGCAAUCCUUAAUUGUAAGCUUCUGAAGUGACGUCAGAUUGCUUAUUUCUUCUGGCAGUGAUCCCAAAUCCUCAAUUUCUUGGAGCCACAUAAAUGUUAAUUUGGAGAGAUGAGGGGAAGAAGAAGCGGCAGAAACAUCAACACCAACAUCAUGUGGAAUAUCAGAUGCUCCUCUAACAAACAAGGAUUCAACAACCUUCCAGCUGCUCCCCUUGAGAAGUAUUCUCUCCACAUUUGGAUACAGAGGCAUGGAAGUUAGAUUAGGACAAUUCCGGAUGGUCAAUGCAGAAAGAGAGGGAAAAGAAGGCAACGACAGUAUUUCCGUUGAUGAAGAAGAAGAAGCAGUGUUAUGAGUGUGGGCCCUCCACCAUCCCUUCAGAACAGGGCAAUCUGCUAUGUAGAGCUCCUCCAGGGAGGGAAAGAAUGAGAUCCUCAUCAUCUCAUCACUCAUACUAUUACUGCUCUCUUUCUCUGAUAGUAAUAUGUACUCCAACUUCUCCAACCCUUCAAGUUCCAGUUUCUUAAGGGAAGGCAAAUGAUCCAAGGGUGGAAGAUGUUGGCAUAUGUUACAACUCUGCAAUUCGAGAUUAACAAUAUUAAUGAGAGAAGAAAACCAACUCGCAAACCUCACACCACCAUAAUACGACACGGUCAACUGCUUUAGAUUAGAAUGGGGUUGCAAUACUUCCAUUGACUUUAUAAUAUCCUCCUCAUCAACUGCCUUUACAUCUUCUAUCUCUUUCCACCUUAAAUCCAAGGAAUGGAGAUGCUGUUUGUCCUUGAGAGGUGUACCAACAUUUGAUUCUGACACCACAUCUUUCUCGUGACUCAAAUUUUCAAUUUCCAAGUCUCCCCUUAAUUCCUUAAGGCUUCCCAGCUCAGCAAGACCAGCACUACCGCCCCUCUCCAAACAAUUGCUUUCGCUCAAAACAAAUCUAUUCAAUGUACGAACACCAUUCAAUUCACCAAUUCCACGUGGCAUUGCACUCAAAAUCUCACACUUAUCCAAGAUGAGAUGCCUUAAGUUGAUCAUUUUUUUAAUGUCUCUAGGCAAUUCCACAAGAUUCCAACACCCUGUGAGAUCUAGUGUUUCCAAAUUCGAAAGUCCAACUAUCCAAUCUGGAAGUCUCUCCAUGUGAUUCCUACUAAGAUCAAGAUAUCUCAAAUGUUUCAUUUUUCUAAGACAAUUAGGUAAUGUUGUAAUUUCUAAUUCAUUGAAACUUAACAUCCGUAAUGACUUAAAAUUUGAAACAAUUGUAGUACAAAGUGCAUUACAUGGGGAACUUAGGUAACCAUCCCAAAAAUCUUGCUGAAGAAAAAGAAAAGUUCGUAUCCUGUUUGCCUUUAGCAAGGACGUUGGCACUUCCCAUUUCGACAAAUUAAUCUCAUAAUUGAAAGAUACGUGAAGAAGCUUUUCAUGAAAGUUCUUUUGGUUCAGAUCAACUACGGCGCUUCCAACCCCUGACACAAAUAUUGCAAGUUCAUUCAUGAGAUCGUGCAUUUUACAACUUUCUAUUAUACCAAACUCAUCUUUUUCUUCUUCUUGAAAAAACAAUCUCCACAACAACUCCCUGUAAUAUUCAUACGCAACAUCCUCCAAACCCUUGUUUUCAUCGGAUGACUUAAUGAACCCUUGCGCCACCCAAAGUCUAAUCAAUCUCUGUACAGAGAUCUUAUAAUCAGGUGGGAACAAGCUACAAUAAGCAAAACAAUGCUUUAGAUGUGAUGGGAGCACAUCAUAACUUAGUUUAAGUGUUGGUAAAAUAUCAUUUUCUUUCUGACUUAUUUUUGAAAGUUUAUUUUCUUUGAAAUUCAACCAUUCUGUUUCGUUAUGCUUGGUGCGCAGCAUCCCACCUAUCGUCCUUAUAGCAAGUGGAACUCCUUGACAUUUUUUUGCAACCUCCUCCCCAACCGCCUUAAUUGUUGGAUUAUGUGGCUCUUUUCCUUCUUUAAAAGCCAUUUUCCUAAAUAAAGACCAACUUUGCUCUUCAUUCAAACCCCUUUAAGGUGUAUGAUUUAGCUGUGUCUGAUGUUGUUGCAACGGUUUCACUACGAGUGGUAAUCAGUAUUCUACUACCUUCUCCACCACCCAUUAACAAGUCCUUCAAGCUAAGCCACUUCUCUCGAUCCUCAUUCCACACGUCAUCCAACACAAGUAGGUACUUCUUCCCAUCUACUUUUUUUCUAAGAUCAUUUUGCAAUUGCUCUAUCCCAUUAUGCUUGGAUUGAAGGAUUUUCUUAACAACUAUAUCCAACUCAAAUACAUUAGAGACACAUGUCCAUAUUUUCAACUCAAAAUGAUUUUGAAUCACCUCAUCGUUGAAUAUGAGUUGGGCAAGUGCAGUUUUCCCCAAUCCUCCAAUUCCAACCAUGGAAAUGGUUGACACAUUCUCAGUUGAGAUGGGAUCCAACAAAAGCUGGAUAAUUGUCUUAGUAUCUUCAUCUCUCCCUAUAAUAUUUUCCUUAGGUACAAAUGAGUGUGUGACCCUCUCUCUCUUUACAAAUCGUGUAUCUUCAUGAUUUACUUCUAAGUGAAAGAUUCUACGAGAUGCAACCUCACUAAGCCUCCUGUUAAUAUCUUUUAUCUUAUGACCCAUCUUUAGCCCAAAAACAAGUUGAUUUGAGCUAGAAAAGAAAAGGCGCACCUGUAAGAAUUUGAAUAGACAUAAUCAUUAUUGCGAAAGAACUGUAUUAAUUAAGUUAAUAGAGUUUUGUAACGUUAAGUUAUAUGUAACAUUCAAAAUAAUAACAUAGACAACUUAUUGCAGUUAAUUGAGAGACCUAUUGUAUUCCUAAUAGGUGGAUAUCUAUAGGCUAAUGUGACUAUGAAAAG